rnacentral:lncRNA from 1 species
UUAGUUAUAUUUUACAGUACAUUAAUGUUCAUCUUAUAUUAUUAUUAUAUAUAUAUAUUUUUUUCUUUAGGACCUGGCUUGGGAGGAAUUCUACACUGUCAUACUUGCACCACGUCAUCAAUAACAAGCCAAUCAUAUUCAUUCUUUUCAAACAAAAGUACAAUAAAAAUACUUUUUUACAAUCAUGAUGGGACAUAUAUUCUUAAAAGGAUUAAUUUGAUUGAUUUGUUACGCCACGUCACUAAUAUACCCGUUGCAUUCUAGAAUUUUUCCUGACUUGGGGCCGGUGGAAAGAUUGUUUCUGUUCAUUAAAAUUUAUAAACUUUUUUUUAGUUUAUUAUUUUAUGUUCAAAAGAAGAAUUAAAAUAAGACUAUAAAGACAAAUCAGAAAGCGCCACGCAACUUUCUCGGCGCCAUUCAAUUGUCAGAUGUUUACUUGAAUCAAGUUCCUGUCAAUGUCGCACACUUACAUUCAAUGGGAGAUUUUUUUGGCCCGCUCAAUAAUUUUUUAUCAUUAAAAAUUGAUAUAAUCAACUAUAAUUAACUUUAGUAUCCUCCACAUGACCACAUGUCAGAGUUUGAUGGGCAUUUAAUACCACAUCGUCUAAGAGUUGAUUAACAUGGAUUAGUCACUGCUAAUCAGCAACGUCCGUGGUUAUUAAUUAAUAGCAAGGAAUAAAGUUUGUGGUUAAAAAAAAAAAAAAACGAAACUUUCCAUUAGAUGAAAUAUCUAUAGAGGUUUCAAAUUGAAGUACUUACUUGGUGUAAUUGGAAAUAAAAAAAUACAAAUUAAUUAAGUAGAAAAGGAAACAAUUUUAGAGAUUUCACGCAAGAUUUCAAAUCUAUUAGGGUGAAAAACCAAAUCCAGUUUAGAUUCUACCUCUCUUUAUCCCACUUCUGGAAAGACCCACUAAGGAAGGUAAAUGGCUCCUUAGUUCUUAAAAAAAAUAGUAUGAACAAAAAUUAAUAAAACAGUUUUUUAUGAUUUUUUUUUUCCAAUUUUUCAUCCUGUAAGUUCUAAAAAAAUUAUUUUUUUAAUGUAUAUUUUUUUCAUAUUUCAUUAGAAACUAAUAUUUUUGUUUUCUGAAAAACAAAAUGCAAAACAAAAACGAUAAUUUUUCACAAAAUUUAGAAAAAAAAUUUAAAAUAGGUUUUCUUUAAUACCAAACGAGCAAAAAAAAUUUUCAGGAAAUAAUUUUUUUUCAUACUAUUUUUAGGAAUCAAAUGGCACUUGGAAAGCACCAACAUCCAUCAUCUUAUCCAACAAAAUGAAACUUUGUUGACAUAUUGGAGUUUGGAGAUCCGGUAACAAAGUAAAAUAUGUGCAAUAAAGUCUUAAAAAUAUCAACUUCCAUCUAGAACCUUUCGUUCGGCUCAAAAAACAUUAUGUUUGGAUGGAUUGCGAUAACAAUAGCUCAAUCCUGCUACAAUCGAUACCGCAAAUAUUUUUUUUAUAGACGGAUACUAUAUCCUACUGUAGAACUAAAACUUUUUUCUCAUUCUCGCAGGACAACUCAUGUUCAAGAAUUAAUAGACAAAAGGCUAAAAAAUCUAAAAAAAAUGUUCACGGAAUUAGAUUAGUUUUUCAUCCCAGAAUAUAUUUGUGACGUGAGAGAUCGCACAGAUUAAUGGUCAAAUGUAGAAAACGAAACAAGAAAUAUAUAAUUGCAUUCCUUUUGAAUCGCCCUGGUCCCAAAAUCUACGGAGUAUGGCGUGGCGUGGCAUAGCGUGGCGUGCGCGAUGUGUUCGGAGAAUUGACCCAGUGAGUUGGUUGGACAUAAAAGAUGAUAAGGUUAGGAAAAUGGCUGUGCCGGACCAUAUGACUGGGAGUACUUACUCGACCCGAGAUGUUACCAUCCUCCUCGCAUGCACAUACUGUUACGAACUAAGGACCUGGGAUAAGGUUCAUUGCCAUAUUAUUUUCUGAGAAUUUUAUUUUACGUUUGAUCAUUGAUGAUAUCACUCGCGAUGUGUGCGAAAGAAUUGACCCAUUGAGUUGGUUGGACACAAAGAAUGAUAAGGUUAGAAAAAUAGCCGUGCCGGACCGUACGACGGAGAGUACUUACUCCACCCGAGAUGUUACCGUCCUCCUCGCAUGCACAUAUUGUUACCAACUACGAAUCUGGGGCAGGCUUCGUUACCAUAUUAUUUUUCUGAAAAUUUUAUUUUGCGUUUGAUCAUUAUUGAUGACAUCACUCGUGAUGUGUUUGGAGAAUUGACCCGUUGAGUUGGUUGGACAUAAAAGAUGAUAAGGUGCCGGACUGUAUGACGAGGAGUACUUACUCGACCCGAGAUGUCUCCGUCCUCCUGGAGUGCGCAUAUUGCUACGAUCUAAGGAUCUGGGAUAUGCUCCAUUGUCCUAUUAUUUCCUGAUAACUUUAUUUUGCAUUUGAUCAUUGAUGACAUUACUCGUCAGGUCAAAUCUUGUAUGAAAGUAUGAGAUUUUAAAAUAUCCUUUGGCAUUAUUUUAAUUUUUUAAUGCUUUUAACCAGGGCUCUUUUGAUAGAUGUUGCCUCUUUUUAAAUUAUUUUAAACACUAAUUAUAUAUAGUUUAAUAUAUAUAUAUAGAGUUGAGCUGAAAUACUAUCGGCAGCAAACGGGUUUCGUUGCCACCCAUUUAUUUUCGAAGAUGAAGCCUCCAAAUCGACGAUCAGUAUUGUUGACAAUGAUCUAUACCACUUGAAGUAUCUAGAAAUCAAAUUUCAUAUUUUUUCAAUAUUGUUCUCUUGUUCAUCAAGUGGGCGUAAAAAUGAAUUGCUGAAAAUAAAUAUCUUCUAAAAAGUGAUGAUAGGAAUUUUGUAAUCAAGAUCAAGAGUAUAGAUCUUAUUCUAAAUAGUUUAAAAAAUUUUAUACCAAAAUUCAAUUGAUUUGGAUAGCUUUACACCGUUAAACGAGAAAACGCCUCAUAUCAACCCUUAAAAUUAUAAAUUUUGAAACUCUUUGAUCAUUAGGCCAAUAAUGUCGAGAAGAUUUGAAAUUUGAUUUCUAGAUACUUCAAGUGAUAUAGAUCAUGUUCAACGGUACCGAUCGUCGAUUUGAAAGCUCCAUCAUCGAAAACAAAUGUGUAGCAACGGAGCCCGUUUGCUACCGAUAGCAUUCCAGCUCAACUAUAUAUAUAUAUUUGCCAUUGUCCAUUAGCUUACAAUGGUUUCUAGUUAAAAGAUGAAUAAUAAUUUAUUUAAAAUUAUUAAAAUAAAAUUUUUUUUUUUUGUCAAAUAAAUAACUUGUAUGUAAGAAUUGUGAGAAAUUAUCAUCCCUUCUCACAGAAAUUAUAUGUAAAAUUUAUAUUUUGGAAAAAUAAAAAAAUAGAAAUAACGUCAAACGAAGCGUUAAUUAAAAUUUUGAUAAUACACGUGAUGUAAUGAAAUGUGCCCGGUGUAUGCCUCACAUGAAAUAUCACCAAAAUCAUGGUGUCGCUAAAAAAAAAAAAAAAAAAAAAAAAAAAAAAAAAAAAAAAAAAAAAAAAAAAAAUCACCUAGUCGCCAACAAAGCGCAUAACGUGCCGGGCCUGGCCCUCACUCCUCUUUGGAAACCCCACUUAGGACAUGAUCCGGCCCGUAAAGAGAAAGGCCUAAAAUCAAAACGGGUCAGGUCCGGUCCGGGCCGGGCGCGGACUCUUCAUCUUAAACCCUUCUCCGCUUCUCCCUCACUCGAUACUCCGAUGCAUCAAACCCCUUACACGGGGCGCCCGACACCCUCCUCCGCCACCGCGCCUCGUGCCAUUCCAGGUACAAAAAUUCAAAGCAUAACAAAAUAAAAUAUGGUUCACAUAUGUAGAUCUAAAUAAUCACAAAGUAUUAUUCUUUUGAUUUCGAUAUUCAGAGGUAGAGAGGGAAUUACUUCUUUUGCAAGUUCAUAUAUAGUUAUAUAUGUGUAUAUUUUUUGGUGAUAUAAGCCCUGAUUCAAGUCAAUUUAGAAAUUCGCAGCUACCAGGUAGAAAUCUUGCUUCGAUCAUCAAUUGGACGCUUUUCAUAUUCACCACAUAUAGAAAAAAAGAGAAAGGUAAAGUUUCUAUAUAAUCAAAUAUUCAUAUGUUAUGUUUGGGGCAAUUCAACAAACAUCUUAUAAGCGUAAAAUCCAGAGUGUAAGUGCUCUGCAUGAGAGAUCGUCGGAGCUGUUAAUUAGCAUGUUCGAAAUUAUAUGUUGUAGGUUAUGGUGCAACCACUAGCGGUCGACUCAAAAAUGCUCGGUUCUAGCUUGUUUUGCGCUCAAAAUGAUUUGGCCGCAGGUCUAGCCUGGCCUGAAUCAGGCUCGGCAAUGGGGACUUCGGGCCAGCCUAGAUCGGUUAGCACCUCCAAUUGGUGCUAUAAUACACAACCAUUGACAGCAACACAAUUUGGCGACCAGGAUCUGGGCUCUCGUUAUUCCACACAUCAAUUUGAUGAUCUGGCGAGCUUGCUUGACAAUAACACGCGAGCAUCAACAGUUGGAGAAUCCUUCGCUCACAAAUCUUAUCUCCCUAGCCCUUGUUUGGUUGGGGAUUAAGGGGUGGAAUAAUCCCUUAACCCCCAUUUUAUCCCUAAACACCCUCAAAAAUAGAUGAGGUUAGCUAACCCCACCUCAAAUAAAUUAUCCCGGAUUAGCUAACUUCACCUAACCCCACCAAACUCCAACCAAACACUAUUUUCUAUUCAUAAUAAUUCACUAUCUUUCUUAUCACACCUACUCCAACCAAUCAUUAUCCUUCUUUAUCAAUCAUUAUCUUUUUAUCUCACCUACUCCAACCAAACACUAAUUUUUCAUUAUUCUAGACUAACUCCAACCCCCAAUCAAACACAAAAAAAUUUUAACCCCACUUUAACCAUGAACUUAAUUCUAUCCCUGGAAUAUCUACUUUUUCCUUAACCCCGAACCAAACGGAGGCCUAAGGACUAUAUCAUGGAUGGCGGGCUAGGUCUAGUGGUCCAACAGUCCUUAGAAAUGGCAGUGGCUAAAAGCCAGGGGACUAGUCAAAAUUCUAAUUGUCAACCUAAAACUGCGUCUUUAUCUAACUUAACUGAAGUUUUGCUUAAUGAAGUGUAUGAAGAGCAGAAAGCAAUCAGUUCUUUGCCACAACAACCCUUGCAGAAGCAGGGAAAUCAAUCGAAAUGUUCGUUAAAUGAUGACGGCAGACCAUUUCCCUCAGAUAGUUCUCCUGGAACAUAGGGUUUGCUGGGUCGAAUUUCUUUAGUACAUAAUCGGUUUAGAGUUUUUCAGUACAUAGUCGGUUUUUUAGUACAUAUCAUCACAGUUAUUCUUAGCUUCAAGUUAGAUUGUUAAUUCAUAGUACCUUUGCUUACAGGCUCAAUUAUUCUGAGGUGGCAAUUAGCCUUGUUCGCUUUCCAUCGUUUGAAAAGAUUGUCAUAUUUUCUUUCUUUUUCUUUGUAUCAAUGUCAGAACCAUGUACAAAAGAUUCGAUCCAUUUCUACUUGGAGCAUCGUUUGAUGGGUCCUGUUAGUUAUUUUACAUCAGAUUGCUCCACAAACUAGUUUCAUACCAUUUACGGUUUCUAACAUGCAGACCACACAAGUUUUAUCUCUCACUAGGAAGUACUCCUAUGAUAUGCCAGAUACUGCCAAAAAAAAACAAGUGAAAACUUAACCGGUUCGCUACAAAGCAUACCUCUUAUUCUCUUAUAGACGAUAAUCUCAUGACAUAUAUGGCCAAGUUAUGAAACGACGAAAUAAAUACAAUACAUAACAAGUAUGCAACAAAUUACCGAGGAAAAUCCAUAGACAAUAGCAGAGCGUCCUCCAGACUGUCCUGUUGUGAAUUGCUGCAACAUAAAGCUGAAGGCUCAUCCGCCGAGAUUUCUUUCUGAAUUUGGCUUUGCGGCGGUAUGUUAAGCUUCUCUUGACUCUUCUCAGCUGAGUGCUGCUUCAUAAGCCUUCUCAGUGCAUCAAGCUCGACCAACACUUCCUUCAUCUUCGGCCUCUCUUCCCCUUUAAUUCUCAAACACCUCAGCGCCACCUUUGCGAUUUCAUUAAGAUGCCUCACCCCUGCUUCCUUCACCACCCUCUGAUCCAACAUCUCCAGUAGCCGAUUCUGUUCAACCAACAUAGUGAAAUGCGAGGCUAGGUUCCUCCCUUCCUCCGACCGACAAAAAGAAAUAGGCAUCUCUCGCGUCAAUAUCUCAAUGAGUACCACACCGAAGCUAUACACAUCGCUCUUAUCUGUUAAAAGGCUCGUGCUGAAGUACUCUGGGUCCAAGUAUCCUAGGGUCCCUUGAACAACUGUGGUGAUAUGAGUUUGAUCAUAGGGCACUAACCUCGAAGCCCCAAAAUCUGAUACCUUUGCAUUGUAGCAUUCGUCAAGAAGUAUGUUAGCCGACUUGACAUCUCUGUGAAUGAUUGGUACUUUCGUAGCUGAGUGCAGAUACGCGAGCGAUGCUGCUGUCUCAACGGCUAUUCUUAAUCGAUCCUCCCAUGGCAUUGGGGCCGUUUGGUUACUGUGAAGAUGAUUAAAAAGUGUUCCAUUUGAAAUAAAUUCGUAGACUAGUAAGGGAACCUGGGUCUCUAAACAACAUCCCAGUAGUUUGACAACAUUCCUGUGAUUGAUCUGAGAGAGGAUGACCACUUCAUUCACGAAUUGCUCGAUUUGCGUCUGAUCAACCAUCUUUGAUUUCUUGAUGGCCACAACAGUUUGAUCGGAGAGCACUCCUUUGUACACAGUUCCAUAUCCUCCUCGACCGAGAAUCCGAUCCUUGCUGAAAUUAUCAGUUGCCUUUCUGAGUUCUUCAGAAGUAAAUAUUCUUGCCGGUGCUUUCUGUGAGAAGAUUUGUUGUUGUAACAUUAAGCCGCCAUUUUGGAGGAAAAAUUUCUGCCUAAGCUUUGUUUGCUUCCUUUUCUUCCGAAACCACUCAGCCCAGAAGCCUAGUGCGAGCAAAACAGCCAAUAGACCUAGUCCUGCAACUGCACAGGCACUGCAGAUUCUGAAUCCCACAACACAAACACUAGGAAAGAAUUAAAAUUAAAUUGAUAAAUUAUUUAAGUGCGACUAAAAGUAAAUUCAGUUCCUCAUCAGAGGAAAAGCUGCAGAGUUUUUGGUCGUCGUAUAUCUCUAAUUUACUAAAAAGCUUCUGCUUUCUUGCUCCAGAAAUGCGCCGGAACAGACACUUGGGUAUAACAAAAUCCCAAUGCUAGUUAAUGGUUACCUAGCCCAAUAGCUAGGGGCGCCAACCCCUCGCAGCCGGAGCCCGCCCUCAGCCCGUCGCCGCUGAUUCCGAAGGGACAAGUGCAGUUGAAUCCUCCCACCGUAUUGAUGCAUUUAUGAACGCAAGGGUUCGUUUUUGGAUCCGCGCACUCGUCGAUGUCUGUCAUGCAUUUCACAAACCAUAAAGUAGAUGAGCAAAAAAAUUAAUUAUUUAUUCGUCACAACUUCAAUUUUCCACCGUAAAGCGAGCGAGAGAAGAGAAGAAACAACGCUAAAACUAUGGUUUCCUCCGCAGAGCAGCAGGUAUUAUUGGUUAAAAAGCAGAUCAAUAAUACCUUGGCAUCCACCUUCCGUUUCUUCCAGGUAAGGGUUCCCCCGGAACCCUCGGGAGCAGUUGCAGCGAUACCCGAUGCCGUUUGUCGAGUCGUAGCAGUAGCUGCUCCCCUUGCACGCGUAGUCGUCGUCGAACUCUCCUCCUCUUUUCCCUGUCACCUCGGCGCAAGUCUCCUCCCCUAUCGACCACUCCAGCACCAUCGGCCUGUACUGAUCCUCCGGAUUACCGACUAAGUCCUUCUUCGAGAACGCAUAGUAGUCCUCGUCGACUAUGAAUGCCUUGCUACAGGGCUCCCCGGACUGGUCUUUAUGGGUGGACCCUGUGAGGCUCCUGAUGCUGGUGAAGGAGAAGUUGAGGCUCUUCAGCCCCUUGGGCAGCGAAACCUGGCAACACCCGACGCCGGAGCAUGCGCCGGAGACGAUGCUGUCGUUCGUCGCGCAGAAGGAGACGCACCCACCGCUGUACCUGUGGUUGGCGCCGCCCCCCUGCGCGAGCAUGAGGACCAUGGCGUCGCAGCCGACGGCGGUGAACUUGUUGUGGGCGUCGGAGAAGGUGUAGGGGGUGCCGCGGAGGCUGAGGCCGCGGUCGGGCGGGGGGAGGCUGGCGCCGGAGGAGUUGUCGUAGCAGCGCCACGCGACGGCGCGGCCGACGAUGCGGACGUAGCCGGAGAGGAUGGAGAUGUCGAGGACGACGUAGGGGCGGGCGGGCGCCGAGGGGAGGGAGAUGAUGGAGGAGUUGUAGCAAGGCGGAGCGUCCGGGAGAAGCGCCGAUGGGUCGAUGUAGUUGGAGGAGGAAGGCGGUGGCGAUAAUAUCCCCAGCAAUACGAGGAGGAGCAGAGAAUGGACGUGGAGAUCAGGGAGAUGAUCAGGAGGAAGACGAAAGACCAUGGCGCUUCCUUAAUUCCUUCCCCAGUAGACACUAGUCUUGAUUAGGAAGGACGAGGCGGCUGCAGCCUGCAGGCAGAGUCGGAGCUAGCGUCGGCGUCGGACUAAUGGUGGAAACGAUGGUUCGACAAUUGUCGGUAGCCAAUUGCUGGUUGUUGUUGACUCAGAGUCAACACUUUAUUUUUAUUUUAAUUUUUAAUAAUUAGUGGUUGUAUCAGAGACUCUGACUCGUUUUUAUUUUGUUUAAAUUUUUAACUCUCUCUAUUCAGUAGUGCUGCAGCUGUUUAGAAACUAUAUUGUCUGUUGUCAAUAUAUUAAUAUUUAAUAGUAUAAAAAAAAAAUUAAUUUAACUUAAAUAUAUAAUAUGUAUUUAGUAAUGAGAUUUUUUUUUUUUUUUUGAGAAAAAGAUAACACGCUAUCCGCUUCAUUCAUUGAUUAGGUGAAUUAAACUACAAGUAUGGAGCAACCAGGCUCCGAAAGAAAGAAAAAAGAAAAAAGGAAUCAAGACACGAGGAGAAGAUCCCACUCCUUCACGAAAAGCUUGAGAUUGUGGACCGCUUGCCCGGAGUUAGCUGGGAUAGUCCAAAAUAAAGAGUCGUUCCUGACCUUCCAUAUAAUCUACCAGCUGCAUCAUACUAGAACAGUAAGUCAAGAACGUUUCUUUAAAUGAUCCUUUUUGCCAAACCACCUAUCCCACUAGAACAGUAAGUCCAAAAAAAUGUAAUUUUUUUGGAAUAUAAUUUUACAUUUUCAUCUAUUUUAAAAGUGAAAAUUGAAGAACUAUGGAGAGGAGUAUCUAAUAUACAACGUGAUGAGUCUAGCCGGGAAAUAAAAUGAUCGGUGGCUGGCUUGGUUUGGGAGAAACCAAAUAAUCAUCGGAGGCAGAACAACAAACCGUGUGGGUCCUGCCGGACAUUCGAUCACUCGUUAGGGCUUCGGUUCGAGCAUUGCUUUUAACAAGCAUGAUUCAUUUCUAGAGUUUUUCUCUUUUCUUUUCGUUUUAUCUUUUUCUUUCUUUUUUUUUUUUUAGACUGUUUAGUUUAAUUCAUCAUUUUUUGAUGAAUAAAUCAGGUAAGAUGCAAUAUUUUUCUAAAAAAAUUCUCGCUACUCACAUUGAUAUGAUUAAGUGGUCAAUCUUAUUUCUAGAAUGAGUGAUAUAUAUAUGAUUUUUUUUCUUUAAAUGUAUAAAUAAAUAGCAGAACUUUUAGGCUUCGUUUGGUUUAGGAUGUAAGCGGAGAUAAUAAAAGUUAUCCCCGCUUUUCCCUGUUUAAUCAAUGUAUCUCCAUUACACUCCCACUUUUUCAGUCAAGGAAACUACAACUAUGGAGCUUCUAUGAUUGGGGAUAUCCACUGCAAUGUUUAAAGAUUUUCUACUGCACCGCUUAGUGCGAUUGGACAUUAUUGGUCGGAAUGCCGUUUCGCGAGUAAAGAAGCUGGCCAAACACUCGCUCAAUCACAAAUAAGGCAAAAUUUGGUAUGGUUUUUUUUAUUUUUUUAAUUUUUUAGAUGUUUAUUUUAUGUAAUUUGACAUAUUGAUAAAAAGAAUUUUCUUUUCUUCUCAUUGUUCGCUAGUGAUAAAUGAUAACUUAUUUAUAAAGAUUUUUUGAAACAACCAAAAUUAUUUAUUUUAAAGUUUUCACUUUUUACUACUAAAUAAAUGUUUCAGAUAUAAGGAUUGUAAGCAAUCCACCAUUUCCUUUUCCACUAUUUUAUAUAGAAAUUUUAUUUAAUAAAAAAACAGCAACAAUACCAAACAAGACUAAACAUGUAAUUUUUUGGAUUAUUAAUUAAGAUCUUUUUAUUUCUUAGGUCUAUGAUUCUUCACUAGGGACAUUUUUUUUUGGAGAAAAAAUAGCAUAUUAUUUACUUUGUUUAUUUUUUAAAAAAUAAACUUAGCUAAAAAUAUUAAUGAAGUAUAAUUCAAACUUGAAACUUUAGGUACCAAAUAUCAAGCCUCUUGUCACUUACGUUAAGAACCAUUAGUUGAUCCUAUGCUUGUAAGUACAAGUAUAGGCAUAGGGCCAAAAAUAUUGAUCCUCUGCCUACACUUCUACUUACAUCUAUAGACAAACCCCAAUGUAACAAAAAAGGCACAUCAAGCCAAGGUGGCGGUGAUAGCAGCCACACCAAUACGGGGAGGAGGAGAAGAAAUGGUCUAGAGAGAGAAAGAGAGAGAGAGAGAGAGAGAGAGAGAGAGAGAGAGAGAGAGAGGAGGACAACGAAAAAGCAUUGCGCUUCUAAUUUCCUUCCUCGAUCGCAGCAGGACUCCAAACAUUAUAGGCUUCGUUUGAUUCGGAUAUAAACAAAAACUAGCUAUUACAAAACUAGGUAUAAAUAUGGGGUAAAAAAAAUAGCAUUUUGAUAAUAAAUUGGGUUGUUAUCGGAGAUAAGAAAAAUAGUAUUUGGAUAGAUAAUAUGAAAUUAGAAAAAUAAUUGAUAGUUAUAUAUAAAAAAUAGAGCCGUUGAUAGGGAUAGUUAUACCAACUUAUUUCAAAUACCUGAGAAUUACUAUUUUUGGAUAAAAAAUUUACGUUCGGGCAUAAAAAGAGGGAUAAGAGAUUAUCCCUCAUCUUAUCCCCGAUCCAAACGCUACCUUCAGGAAGAAAGACGGAGGAUGUUCUUGAAAGAAGGCGUGGUAGUCCUGAAUAGCAGGUGAGAUUGGGGAUUUAGGAAGGAGGCUGCAGGUAGGAGUUCAUAUCCCCAAUCAUUGCUCGUUGUUUUCUCCGUCUUUUUUUUUUAUGUAGGUGUUUUUGGUGGUAUUGUCUAUUUUAUAUAUAUAGAGAGAAAGUUACGCUAGAAUAUUAUUAAUAGUAAAAAAAAUUUUUUGCUAUCAAAUUUUUAGCUCUUGAAUUAAUUAUUUUUAUUAUUUCUAAUUAUUGGAUUAAAUAUAAUAAUCCAAUGGAGACCAUGUUGGCCCAGUGGCCCUAAUCGUCUAUCAGAUUUUGAUGAUAACAAAUAAUCACGAUUAUUGGACUAAUCUCUUAUCUUGAGUCUUGUGUUUUAGAUCUCUCUAUCUUCAAAAAGGAUUCAAGAUGGACAAUAUUCUAGCACCAAGCUUCACCACUUGAAGCUGUGUUUUGCUUCUUUUGUCAAAUAGACAAGCUCACUCUCUUCACUCUUAACUUGAUUAAUAUUAUGCUUUAUAAUUAUAUAUAUAUAUAUAUAUAUAUAUAUAUAUAUAUAUAUAUGAUAACUACCAUUUUUUUUAAAAUUUUUUUGAUAUACCAAUCCUACUAUAAACAGGUAAUCACAACUCAUCAGGGCAAUCUCAACUCACCAGACUCCUAGUUUUACCGUUGGAUUCUCCCCCCCACUUAAUCCAAAGAUUUUAUUUUUAGGUUUAUUAGUUCGUUUAAUUUUUUGGCUACGUUUAUUUUCUUUACGUUUGAGCUUUUCGUGUGCUAGUUAAACAAAGCUCCAAGCCGUGAAACGGAUGCAGGGGCGGUUGAAGAGUUGUGAGCUCUUACAACCUAGAGGUGAUCUACUAUGAAAACGCCCGUUCGUGGUUCGGAAGUGUAGUUGAGGAAGAAGAAAGUUCGAAGUUCUUAAACGAAGAGAGAGAAAAAUGUUCUAAUUUAGAGUGAUAUUCAAAGUGAGUUCAAAUCUCUUUCUUAACUCUCGAUUCUCAUAAUUCUAGUGACUUCAAAAAUUCGAGUUUACUUGAUAGUUCAACGAUGGUUCACUCCGGAGUUAUGGUAGAUAAAUAUCGGAGCCUGCCUAGACAGUCAACAUGAAAGCCCGCGGGUGUUUGACAAAGGCCCGCGGGUCUUCAAACACGUGCGGUCGACGAAGAGCCUGGUGCACGCGGCGAAAAGAAUUGAAACAUACAAACCCGGCAGUUUUUAAACACCCGCGGGUCUAGAGCUCCUUGUCAAAAAGACUGUGUGCGUCGAAAAGAAUUGAAGCAUUCAAGACCCAGCAGUUUUCAACACCCGCGUGUCUUGUGCUCCUUGUCGAAAAGACUGUGCGCGGCGAAGGAGACCUAAACCCGGCAGUCUUUCAACACCCGCGGAUCUAGAGCUCCCUGUUGAAAGUUUUCAACACCUGCGAGUCUUUCAGCACGACUGAAAGAACGGUCUGUCGGGUCUAACGCACGCGGCGACGAAGGUGUUUUAGACCCGCGGGUCUAAAGCGCGGCGGACAACAGCGUUGGACAGUUCAGUUUGUCAGAAACACAAAGACCUAGUGGGCUUGUUGUUUGUCCGUCCUAGGUUUUCCAAAGUUUUCUAAGCCUAGGUGAAAGCCCGCGGGUCUUAUCCCAGGUCUUUAACCUUGAAAUGUCUUGUGUUUUAAACUCGUUAAAAACUUAUAAAUUUUCAGGAAAAGUGGAUUAGUAUUUAAAUCUUAAAACAAAUUCACUAGAUAUUCCACUAUUCUACUUAUCAAAUUUGAAUCGAGUUUCAAAGAGUGAGANNNNNNNNNNNNNNNNNNNNNNNNNNNNNNNNNNNNNNNNNNNNNNNNNNNNNNNNNNNNNNNNNNNNNNNNNNNNNNNNNNNNNNNNNNNNNNNNNNNNNNNNNNNNNNNNNNNNNNNNNNNNNNNNNNNNNNNNNNNNNNNNNNNNNNNNNNNNNNNNNNNNNNNNNNNNNNNNNNNNNNNNNNNNNNNNNNNNNNNNNNNNNNNNNNNNNNNNNNNNNNNNNNNNNNNNNNNNNNNNNNNNNNNNNNNNNNNNNNNNNNNNNNNNNNNNNNNNNNNNNNNNNNNNNNNNNNNNNNNNNNNNNNNNNNNNNNNNNNNNNNNNNNNNNNNNNCGUGUGCUUUUCGAGUUUGCAUUUCUUUUAUUUGCAUCGGUUUUUUAAUUUGCUUGAUUAUUUGGAUUUUUAUUUUAGAAACCUAAUUCACCCCCCCUCUUAGGUUGCCAUUUUGAUCCUCAGACCACUCAACUCUAACGGGACUACUCAACACUAAUGGACAAAUAUCAUCCUAACCAUAUAGUUUUUUUAAAAUUUUUUUUACCAUCAAUAGUAUAUAUAUAUAUAUAUAUAUAUAUAUAUAUAUAUAUAUAUAUAUAUAUAUAUAUAUAUAUAUAUAUAUAUAUAUAUAUAUAUAUAUAUAUAUAUAUAUAUAUAUAUAUAUAUAUAUAUAUAUAUAUAUAUAUAUAUAUAUAUAUAUAUAUAUAUAUAUAUAUAUAUAUAUAUAUAUAUAUAUAUAUAUAUAUAUAUAUAUAUAUAUAUAUAUAUAUAUAUAUAUAUAUAUAUAUAUAUAUAUAUAUAUAUAUAUAUAUAUAUAUAUAUAUAUAUAUAUAUAUAUAUAUAUAUAUAUAUAUAUAUAUAUAUAUAUAUAUAUAUAUAUAUAUAUAUAUAUAUAUAUAUAUAUAUAUAUAUAUAUAUAUAUAUAUAUAUAUAUAUAUAUAUAUAUAUAUAUAUAUAUAUAUAUAUAUAUAUAUAUAUAUAUAUAUAUAUAUAUAUAUAUAUAUAUAUAUAUAGUCCACUGAGAUACUAUCGAUACCGUCAAGAGCUUGGUGCUACUGAGUUUUCCGUCGUUAGAUUUAAUCCUUUGACUAUUUUUAUCCGUUAAAUUAUAUUAUUCAAUCUAUAACUAAUUCAAUUCUAGAGGGUUCACAUCAUUCUAACCGUACAUUUUUUCAUUUAAUGACCGAAAAUCUAAUAGCACAAAUAGCUUGGUACUAUUGAUAGUAUUCCAGCGAGUUGAGCUAGAAUACUCUCAAAAGCAUCAUGAAGGUAGUGAUUUUGAGUUUUUAGCCAUUAAAUGGAGGGAUGUGAGGUUGAGAUGAUAGUGGUAGGUAAAAUAGUGUUUGAUCCAAAAACUAUUAGUAAUCAAGAAGUAAAUUCAAAGGCUAAAAACUUGGAAGCGCACCAAGAGAUUGGUGCUUCUAAUUAAAAGUAUUCUAGCUCAAUUAGUAUUCCAGCAUAUAUAUAUAUAUAUAUAUAUAUAUAUAUAUAUAUAUAUAUAUAUAGAGAGAGAGAGAGAGAGAGAGAGAGAGAGAGAGAGAGGUUUCUAUACUUUCGAAAGUACGGAGGCCUCCGUACUUGUAAGUUAUUUUCAAUGAUGGGACUUCCAAUUCGGCGAUCGGUUUCAUUAAAUAUGAUCUACGCUAUUGGAACUAUCUAGAAACCAAAUUUCAUAAUUUUUGACUUUGUUUGCCUAGUGAACGAGUAGCAUUAAAAUGAACGGCUGAAAAUAAAAAUCUCAUAAAAAACAGUGAUAAAAGACUCAAAUUUCAAAUCAGUAGUAUUGUUCUUACUCUUAAUGUUAAGUAGAAUUUUCUAUUAAAAUUUCACAUAAUUUGAAAACUUCUACACCGUUGAAUUUAAAAACAUGUCACAUCGGCCGUUAAAAUAGUCAUUUUUGAGAUCCUGUGAUCGUUUGGUAAAUGAUGUCGAAAAAUUAUAAAAUUUGGUUUCUAGAUAGUUCCAAUAGCUUAGAUUUUGCCUAACGGAGCCGAUCGUCGAAUCGGAUUUCCUAGAAUCGAAAACAACUUACAAGCACGGAGGCCUUCGUACUUUCGAAAGCACGGGAGACGUACUAUAUAUAUAUAUAUAUAUGUAUAUAUAUAGUGCGGCUAGAAUGCUUAUGGAAGCACGGAAGGCUCCGUGCUUCCAUUUUGUUUUCGAUGUUCGGACUUUCGAAUCGGCGUUUGGCUUCGUUAGACUUGAUCUAGAGUAUUUGAAAUAUCUAGAAAAUAAAUUUUGCGAUUUUUCGAUAUCAUUUGCCUAGUGAUCGAAGUGGCUCAAAAUCAACGGCUGAAAAUAAAAAUCUUACAAAAUAUGAUGAUAUGACAUUAAAAUUUUAGAUCAAAGUUAUUGAUCUUGUUUUAUAUGGUAUAAAGAAUUUUCUAUCAAAAUUUCAUGUGAUUUGGAUAUUUCUACACCGUUAAACUUGCAACCGGCUCACCACGGCCAUUAAAAUUAUUGAUUUUGAACCCCUUCGAUAACUAAGCAAAUAAUAUCGAAAAAUCACAAAAUUUAUUUUCUAGGUACUACAAAUACUCUAGAUCAGCUCUAACGGAGCCGAUCGUCGAUUCGAAAGUCCGAACAUCGAAAAUAAUUUGAAAGCACGAAGUAAGCAUACCAGCCCACUCUAUAUAUAACACUCGCUGACUUCACGUCGACCUAAAAAAAAGUAGUGAACUCCACGUGUCUGCCUUGCCUUCAUUUCACUUUUUUGUCUCUGUGAAGGCGGAAGAGUAGAGUGAGGGAGACAACAUCUACUCUGUUCCAAGGGAACAAAGGCAGAGUGGUCGAGUGAAUUCAUAAAGGGAGAAAAAGGAGACCUUCCCUUUACGCUUCAUCGGUCGUACUUCGCUUAUUUGAGACUGCACCACUUUAAAAGGAGACAGCACGUGUUCGUUGAUUAUCUAUGCAUAAAGAACUUUGUUAGUGUAGUCUAGUCUGAUAGUUGAAGUUCUUGUUAAUGGGCAGGAAAAACAUUAUUUGAUAAACAGAUGGGGCGUCACAAGCAUCUAAUGAAAACCCCUUUAACAAGGGGAAAGGGCGUCAAGGCCACGAAGAUUGUGAAAGAAAGAACCGGCCUUUUAGUUGAAAAAAACUAGAGCAAACCCAAGCAAAAGUGAGAUGGCAACGGCUAAAAUCACCCGAGAGAGAGGAGUAGGAAAUAUACUAAAAGAAGGCAGGUACGGUUCCCUACUCCUUAAAAUGUCAUCUUGAUGUGAUUUGAUAAGAGGAAAUUGCCAAAAGAUUGAGAUAGAUAUGUUUGAAUGAAUUCAGACCUCGUCAUGUUCAUCCUUAUUCCCUAACAAAAAUGAAAUCUCUUUUAUUUUAUUAAUUUUUUUAAUCACCUUCACGAAGGAGGUGGACUUCAACCAUCCUCUAUGGCCUUUCAUCUUUCUAUUCUUUUAAAAGAUGCGCAUAAAACAAAACCAAAACCGUGAAGUUUAGCGGUCAUGUUUGAAUCCAAACUAGCUGGAGAUUCGCACAUGACUCUACGAAAUUUCAUAUAAAUCAGACUCAGCCCUAAAUGAUAUAUAUAUAUAUAUAUAUAAAAUUUAAGGUCAUAGGCGUGGGCCAAUUGGCCAAGUGGUCCGAAGCUCUAACGCGUGGCCUACCUGGGAGCAUGUGUUUCACAGAUUCAGAAUGGCCUGUAGCUGCGGGCCUCAAGUAUAGACUAUUGAGUGCAUUAGGGAAAUAAAAACUAAACUUUAAUCAAUUUUAACUGUCUCUUUAGUUAUAUAAACUGUAGAUCCGGAGCGAAUUCUGAAACAAAAUAAAAAUAAGGCAAGUAAAAAACAGCUAAAAUUAAGCUUUACAUUGUGUUUUGUCGACAGGACGGGCAUCCAUGACGCGAGCCAAAUUUCAUAAGAGAGAGGGGGAAAAACGACGUCAGAAGAAACAAACAAAGUGAGGACGUCCGCUCCUUAAAUGCUGAGUCGACGCUCUUCAUUGCUCCUUAACCCAUGCCUGCGCCCACAGGAAGAAGGAAAAAUUCUAGAAUACAUCAGGUAUAUUGAUGAUGUGGCGUAAUAAAUCAAUCAAAUAUUUUUCUUUAGAGGUACAUAUUUCAUCAUGAUUAUAAAAAAAUAUUUUUAUUGUACUUUUAUUUGAAAAGAAAAAAAUAAUUAUUUUGUUAUUGAUGACGUAGUGCAAGUGUGACAGUGUAGAAUUCCUCACGAAGAAGACCCAUACCUGCACCCACACGAAGAAGAAUGUCGACCUCUUGAUAUAAUUCUUAUUCUUCCUCGCAAGUCUCAAUAUCUCCCAUCGAAGUAGAGAAUUAAUUUAAGCGCCUUCAUUAAUCUAUGANUCGACCUCUUGAUAUAAUUCUUAUUCUUCCUCGCAAGUCUCAAUAUCUCCCAUCGAAGUAGAGAAUUAAUUUAAGCGCCUUCAUUAAUCUAUGAUUGAUCGAUCGAUGCAUAUUCCACCGUUAUUCAACUUCUUGCACCUAGUAUGGCUGCUUGUGCCGGCAUCAUCCUCUUCCCCCGACUCCGUCGAUCCAUCGGCGCUCGGGAUGGACGCCCCCAGCUGCAAUUUCGACUUCCCAUUCGGCGCCCCAGGCUUCUCCCAAUACCGAAAGGGCUUCGAGGUGUCUUGCAACCCCAGCCUUUCGGGGAGCCCCUCGUGGCUCCAAGUCGGCUCGAAGAAGCUGCAGAUAAUGAACAUCUCGAUAGCCGAAGGCUACGUGCGCACCGGAAUCACCCCAUCCACGUGGCAGUGCUCUCGCUCGGGCGAGACGGGAGAGGGCAUCAGCCUGGAGGGCACCCCGUUCACCUUCUCCCACACGCGGAACAAGCUGACCGUCGUCAGUUGCGACACCUUCGUCAGCUUUGCGGACCAUCGAAAUUCUAGCGUCUCCGUCGGCUGUGUCUCCUUCUGCCCCUCGCAGCUGAGCAUUACGGAUGGCGCCUGCUCUGGUGUCGGCUGCUGUCAGGCCGCGAUCCCCGUGGGGCUCAAGAGUUUCGACGCACAAUUCUACAGCAUCCCGGACGAGAUAAAACGGCGGUGGAAACUGAAAGUUAACAACACUCUGCAGCCGAUGACGCCCUCCUCGUCCGGUCACCAAAGAAAGGAAGCUCCAAGUAUAGUUUUCGAAAACACGACGCCGCUGUGCAGCAAGGUGUUCAUCGCGGAGUAUGAAAAUUUCACCUUCUCGAAGAGGUAUCUGGAGAUCAGCGGCGACUGGGAGGACGCGCCCCUGUCAAUGGUGUUGGAUUGGGCGAUCGGGAACGAGACGUGUGUGGAUGCGAGGCGGAGGAACGCGUCUGACUAUGCUUGCAUCGACGAUAACAGCUCCUGCUACGACUCCCCGGAUGGGGUGGGGUAUCGCUGCAACUGCAGUGAGGGCUAUCAGGGCAACCCUUACGUCGCCGGCGGAUGUCAGGGUAAGUCUAGUAACAAUAAAAAUAAGGUAUAUAUAUGAUCAUUGUCGCAUGUUCAGCGUUCGGCGGCGAAGUUCAAAAAUUCGAAAUUCCACAAAAAUUCGUUUGAAAAUAUUUUGACAAUCAUUGAACUGAUAAACAAUCAGCAUAUAAUACUAGAAUAUAUAAAGGUAUAAAAUCUCUAUGCAAUACUUUUAUUUUUCAUCAUUUUUAAGAUGAUAAAAGUGAAAAAUGUAAAGAACAAUCUACUUAACAAUGAAUAAUGUAUACAAUAAGUUUUUUAAUAUAUUUUUAUAAUUUUUUUGGGUGAUAUCUAUCUGCUAGCAAAUAAUUUGGCCAAAUAUUCAAACGACUAAGAAGUCUUGAACUAUUAACAAAUUUUGUAAAAAAUUGAAGUCGUGGAACACCUCUAGUUAAGUCAAUGUUUAUAUCUUCUCAGACAUUGAUGAAUGCGCGGAUCGAGACAAAAACAACUGCCUGUGGAAUUGCAGGAACGAGCCCGGGAAAUACCGUUGCAUUUGUCCACGCGGACACCGGGGAGAUGGAACCAAGUACGGAAGUGGUUGCACCAGGGAAGCCGCAAUUACAGAGAUUGGCCUAGGUACUCUGCUUUAAGCCCUGCUAACAUUAGAGUUUAUAUGUUUCCCUGGUAACAAUUUAGAAAUGGAUCACAAUCUAAGCAUAUCAGCAACAAAUAGCACAAAUAGGUUUGCGCUUAUUGCCUACUCUGUUUAGCUUCUGAUUUUUCACUUUGAAGUCGUAGACAACUUUGGCAAAGUGUUUGACUUAAGAAAGGACUAGGACUAUAAAUGCAAUCGGCGAGUACAGUAGCUUCUAAGCUCAAAUGCAUCGGCCAAAGUUGUAGAGAGAAUUGAAAGAUAUCCGAGAGUGAUUACUAUUACUAUUUUCUUUGUUGAGAGAGAAAAGUAAUAUAUCAUUCGUUUUAUUUUUUUUAUAAAUAAAAUUAACUGAAAAUAUAGAACAAUCAGACUUCGAACUUGAAAACAUUGUUAGCAGCCAUCAAACACUUUAUCACUUAUAUUAGAAAGGACCAAUAUAUUAGAGAGAUUUUUAAUAGAGAAACUGUUUUAUUCAAUCUAACAACUUUGGUCAAUAAUAUUUUUGUAGAAUCUUCGAUCAGAUCAGGGCCAUAGAGCCUCUGAUUUCCUAGAAAAAUGAAAUGAUCUCCAAAUCUUUUAUAUAUAUAUAUAUAUAUAUAUAUAUAUAUAUNCUAUAUAUAUAUAUAUAUAUAUAUAUAUAUAUAUAUAUAAAAUAUAUAUAUAUAUCCAACCACUCCUACAAGUGAACAAGAGAAAAGAAGAGACUGUUGGAAUUUUGACAUUAAUUAACGAAACUUGUAAGUUUUGAAUUGUACACAGCGGUUGGGCUGUCGGCUAUGAUUCUGAUCUUCCUGGGAAGCUUGUGGAUAUACUGGCUGCUGAAGAAGCUGAGGCUCGGAAGACUCAAACGUCAGUACUUCAUGCAAAACGGAGGCCUACUAUUGCAGCAGCGAAUCACAUCCGCUCGCAGGGCCACCGCGAGGAUCUUCACCAUCGAAGAGCUCGAGAGAGCCACCAAUGGCUUCAGCAAGGACAGAGUGAUCGGCCACGGCGGCUACGGCACGGUAUACAAAGGAAUACUUCCUAACGACCAGAUCAUCGCCAUUAAGAGAUCGAAGCUGGUGGACGAAAUCCAGAUCGAAUCCUUCAUAAACGAGGUGGCCAUCCUCUCUCAGAUCGAUCAUAAGAACGUGGUUAAGCUACUGGGUUGCUGCUUAGAAUCUCAAGUCCCUCUCCUGGUCUACGAGUUCAUCUCCAACGGCACACUUUUCCGCCACAUUCACGAGAAACCCAACAAUGUGAUUCCGUGGGAGGCUCGCCUCCGAAUCGCAGCAGAGACCGCGACAGCUCUGGCGCAUCUUCAUUCGAGGGCUUCUGUACCCAUCAUUCAUAGGGACGUUAAGUCAGCUAACAUAUUGUUGGACGAGAGCUACACCGCAAAGGUGGCGGAUUUCGGGGCUUCGAGGUUGGUGCCUUGCGACCGCACGCACGUAACGACGCUAGUGCAGGGGACGCUGGGUUAUUUGGACCCCGAAUACUUCUACACGAGCCGGUUGACGGAAAGAAGCGACGUUUACAGUUUCGGAGUUGUGCUGGUGGAGCUGCUAACGGCGGAGAAGCCUGUGUCGUUUUGUCGGACGGAGACGGAGACGAACCUGGCCUCGCAUUUCGUGAUGCUGCUGCAGGGGAAGAGGCUGUGGGAGGUGGCGGACAGUCGGAUGGUGGCGGAGGCGGGGGAAACGCAAAUGCUGCCGGUGGCUGAUCUCGCGAGGAGAUGCUUGAGCGUGAAGGGAGAGGAGAGGCCGACGAUGGAAGAGGUGGCGGUAGAGCUCGAUGCGCUUCUAAGGCUCAUGAAGCAGCACUUAGCAUUGAGAAGAAGCUUACAGGACGGGGCGAGGCCUCUUGCUAAGCCUUUAGCUAUCAAUGACAAUAAUACUAUUGACGAGGUUGGUGCAGAGAGAGUCUGUGAAGGAGGAUGAGCACGGUGAAUGCAAUCUAAUUAACAAAUUAAAUAUUAAAGUGUAUAAAAUUGUAUGGUGCUGUCAAAGUGAAAGUUGUAAAAUGCUUGAUUGUCGAUUUAUUGUAAAAGUGUUGUCUAUUAUAGAGAAAGGUGCCGUUUCACAAAAAUUCUAAUAAACUAAAUUGUAUAAAAGAAAUUAGCUGUUGAAAACUUUUCCGGCUACAACCCAUUUCAUACCAGUCACGUGAACUUCAAAUUCUUUUGCUUAACCUUCUUUCCCUCCGUGCUCUUUUAUUUUCAUUUGAGUUAUUUUAUCCAAUUAAAUUAAAAAUUUUAUUAUACUAAUUAAUCAACAGUUUUGUACAAUUUUAAUUUGAUUAAAAAAGUUCUCUAUUAUAAAUACAGACAGUUUUGUAUAAUUUUAAUUUGAUUAAAAAAAUUCGCCACCUUUGCAGUGUGUAAGGGGGACAUGAGGAACACGAGAGUCCUUCCUCCCCCAAGGGAGAAAGGGGGACAGGAGUAUCACGAGAGAGAGAGAGAGAGAGAGAGAGAGAGAGAGUAGAAAUCUGUAGUAGGAUUGGGAGAGAAUAAAAAAAUGGUACAAAUUUUUUAAAAAAAUUCAAGUAGUGUAAAAAAUUUUAAAAGUACAAAAAGAAAAUCAAUGCAUCUCCACUACGCUCCCACUUUUCAGUCGCGAAAGCUCCAACUACGGAGGUUCCAUCAUUGGGAUAUCCACCCCAAGAGAUUUCCUUCCACACGGCUGAUUGCAAGUGGAUAUUAUUGGUCCAAAGCGCGUUUUGGAAUGAAAAAAUUGGACCAAACACCGACUUAAUCACAAAUAAGGUGACUUUUGAUAUAGUUAUCGUUUUUAAAAUUUUUAAGACGUUAAUUCAAUAGUGAUGAAUGACAAUUUAUUUAAAUUCUUUUAGGCAACUAAAUUAGUUAUUUUAAAAUUUUUAUUUUUAUUGUCAAAUAAAUACCAUAAAUAUAUAUAAGGAUUGCAAGUAAUUCACCAUUCAUUUCUACACUAUUUUAUAAGUAAAUUCUAUUUAACGGAAUGAAUAAAAUAGCAACUAAUACCAAACAAGGCUAAACAUGUAAUACUUUGAAUUAUUAAUCACGAAUUAAUUCCAUUUAUGCUUGAGAUUGACAUAAUUUUGUUUCUUAAUUAGGUCUAAAAUUCUUCACCGGAGGCUAUUGGUUCUAUGUAACAUGUGUAUGUACAACGGGGUCAGGGCAUAUGUUUGGAAAUUUGACGUCAGAAGAAGCAAACAAAGCGACGACGCCCACUCCUUGACUGCUGAGUCGACGCUCUUCGUCACUCCAGCAAGAUCACCAAGAUCAUAUCAUAUCACACACCACACCCACACCCACACCUUCACGGUAUCAUUCUUAUUCUUCCCCUCACGCGCGUCUCUAUAUCUACCAUCGAAGUGGAGAAUUAAUUUAAGCGCCUUCAUUAAUCUAUGAUCGAUCGAUCGAUGCAUAUUCCACCGUUAUUCAUCGUCUUGCAGCUAGUAUGGCUGCUUGUGCCGGCAUCAUCCUCUUCCUCCGACUCCAUCGAUCCAUCGGUGCUCGGGAUGGACGCCCCCAGCUGCAAUUUCGACUUCCCCUUCGGCGCCCCCGGCUUCUCCCAAUACCGAAAGGGCUUCGAGGUGUCCUGCGACCCCAGCCUUACCGGGAGCCCCUCGUGGCUCCAAGUCGGCUCGAAGCAGCUGCAGAUAAUGAACAUCUCGAUAGCCGAGGGCUACGUGCGCACCAGAAUCACCGCCUCCACAUGGCAGUGCUCUCGCCAGGAUGUGGCGGGAGCAAACAUCAGCCUGGAGGGCACCCCAUUCACGUUCUCCCCCACGCGGAACAAGCUGACCGUCAUCAGUUGCGACACCUUCGUCAGCUUUGAGGNUGCGAUUCAGCAUGUAAUUUUUUGAUUAACCUCUUGUUCCUAAAAAAUGAUACGAACUAAUAAUUCUUCGACAAGUUUUGAUUUUUCUUAUGGGUAAUUUCAAUUUUUUGAAAGGAUUCAGCUGCAUUAUUCGGAGUUUCAUCUAUGGAGAUAAGAGUAGCUUUUCAUGUUAUGAUACAGUCAAUGCUCAUCAGGAACAAAUAUAUUAAUUCCUUUACAAUGUUUUCUGUGAUCUAGCUUAAGUUCGGAGGUAGUGAAUUGCGACUACUUGUGCGCAAAGAGCUGGCGAAGAGUGAUGUCGGAACUGUUGGUACAACCCAAACCAUAUUAAAAAUUCAUCAACCAAGAACUCUAACAUAAUUUAACAGAAUCCAGUUUCUCCCAAAUUAAGCUACGGAUCGAAUCAAAUGAAUCCCUAAAAACUGAGCAAGUACCCACGACCUAUUCCAAAUUCUAUCAAACGAAACCAUCAUUGCUCACGAAAAUCACAAAAUUAACGAGAUAAGAUGAGUAUAAGAGAAUCGAUCUUGCCCAAAACCUAAUCCGACAACCCCAUCCUUCUCAUCAGAUCAUCAACAACACGCAAGAAGCAGACAAUAGGGAGCAGACACAGGGAUCACGAUCCUGAUCUCGGCAAACUCCGAUCAUGGGAAGCCCUAACCCUAGAGGAGUGGAGUGGAGUGGAAGGGAGGGGAGAGAGAGGGGGAGAAUGAGAACCUUGACGAUCUCGUCGCUGGGGGCGGCGAUCUCGGGGUCGAGGGCGCGGAUGGUGCCCUCCUCCUUGCGCUCGAGGGUUAGCAGGGCCUCGGCGAGCUCGGCCUCAACACAGCAGCAGCCCACCUCGUCCUGUUAGGGCUUCUUCAUCUUAGGGUCCGAAGGUUCCUGCUAGCGCUUCGUCGCCGCGCUCUAUCCCCACCUCGUCCCGCUAAGGCUUCGUCGACCGUGGCGAUAGUCGCGACACGAUGCUUCACCGGCCGCUGAGGAGGUCGCGGCGUGCGGAGGUUGCGGCUAGGGAGGAGCAGCCGGCGUGCAGAGGUCGCGAAGGUCGCUGCAGCGUGCGGAGGUCACGAAGGGGGCGAAAGGGUUUGGGCGAAAGGGUUUGGGAAAAGUGUUUUGUUCACUUGAGCAGGGAACUAAUAAGGAUUUUUCUGACAAAAUUAAAAAAAAUUAAAAAAAAUGAACCUUUUGUGACGAAUAUAUAAAUUUUCUCGCUAAAUAUUUCGGGCUCUUUGGCGCCAAGUGAAAAAAAUGGCGCGGUAAUCAAUAGCGGGGAAAAAUAUUUGCAACAAAAAUUUUUAUUAUUUUUUCUGGCGAAAUUAUAACUAUUGUCACAAAAAAUUAAUAUUUUUGUGGCCAUAUAUCACAAAUCGCCACAAAUAAAUACUGAUAAUAUUUAUAUUUUUUAAAAAAUAUGACAAAGGCUCUAUUGUGACGAAAAAUAAUCGCCACAAUAAAUAAUAUAUACAUUUUAUGACAAUUUAUUAUAUUUCUACAUAGAUGGCUAACGCAUUUACUGCGAUUUUCGAGACAUCGCCGCUAUUUCAAUUUUAAAUAUUCGCAAACAAAAUUUGCGGGGAAAAAAUAAAAAUCCCCACAAAAAAUUUACCAUUAAUGAAGAUUUUUAGUUGGUCACAAAAAAGUCUCCACAAAAUAUUGUAUUUCUUGUAGUGGCUGCUGCCAAGCUACGAUCCCCGUGGGGCUCAAGAGCUUCGUCGACGUGCAAUUCCACAGCGUCACGGACGCGAUAAAAGGGUGGUGGAAACUGAAAGUUAACAACACGCUGCAGCCGUUGACGCCCUCCUCAUCCGGUCACCAAAGAAAAGGAGCUCCAAGUAUAGUUUUUGAUCCGCCUGAUUUCGAAAACACGACGCCGCUGUGCAGCAAGGUGUUCAUCGCGGAGUAUGAAAAAUUCACGUUCUCAAAGAGCGAUAUGCUGUUCGGCGCUGCCUGGGACGACACGUCCCUGUCGAUGGUGCUGGAUUGGGCGAUCGGGAACGAGUCGUGUGCGGAGGCGACGCGGAGGAACGCGUCUGACGACUAUGCUUGCAUCGACGAGAACAGCAUCUGCUACGACCCGCCGGGUAGGGCGGGCUAUCUCUGCAACUGCAGUGACGGCUAUCAGGGCAACCCUUACGUCGCCGGUGGAUGCCAGUGUGAGUUUAGUAACAGUAAAAUGUUAUAUGCCUUAUUAAGGUAUAUAUAUAGGAAUAUACGAAUUAAUACAAUCAGAGUAUAUAUCUUUAUAUUCCUAAGUUGUUUUUAAUAAUGAAACUUCCGAAACCAUAAAAUGUUUACAAAUUCUAUAAAAUAAAUUUUUUAUGCAAUACUUUUAUUUUCACCAAUUUCUUAGACAAUAAAAAGAGAAAAAUGUAAUGAACAAUCUAUUUAACAAUGAAUAAUGUAUAAAAUAUUAAAAUAUAUUGAUAGAUUCAUACAUUUUUUUAAUAUUUUUUUAUAAUUUUUCGGUUGAUACCUAUACGCUAGCGAAUAAUUUGGCCAAUUAUUCGAACAACCAAAGAGUCUUAAACUAUUAAUAAAUUUUGUAAAAAAUUGGAGAAGUUUGUCACCACCUAUAUAUUUUCAAGUUUUCUAUCGACAAUAAGUUACAUAAGAGAGCACUUACAACCAUAUUCAGCCUUUCGGAGUCGUGGAACACCUCUAGUUAAGUCAAGGUAUCUAUCUUCUCAGACAUUGAUGAAUGCGCGGAUCGAGACAAAAACAACUGCACGUGGAAAUGCACGAACAAGCCCGGGGAAUACCGCUGCAUUUGUCCACCGGGAUACAGGGGAGACGGAACCAAGAACGGAAGUGGUUGCACCAAGGACGCCGCAACUACAGAGAUUGGCCUAGGUACUCUGCUUUAAUCCCCCGCUAACAUUAGGGUUUAUAUGUUUCCCUGGUUCAAGUUAGAAAUGAUCACAAUCUAUGCGUGUUAGCAACAAUUAAUAGCACAAAUAGGUUUGCUUUUAUUGCCUGCCUUGUUUAGCUUUUGAUUUUUCACGUCGAAGUCGUAGACAACUUUGGUACAGAGUUUGACUUAAAUAAAGGACUAGGACUGUAGAUGCAACUGGAAAAUGCAUGGGCCAACACUGUAGAGAGAAUUCAAAGAUAUAGGAAAGAGAUCAUUAUUAUUGUUUUUAGAGACACAGAAAAGUAGUAUGCUUUUCGCUUCAAUUAUUAUUUUUUUAAAUAAAUUUACUAGAAAAUAUAAAAUAACAGCUCUCAAACUCUUUUUCACCGGCGGCGCUAGGGACGGCAGGUAUAUCAGGGAGAUUUUAAUAAAGUAACUGUUUUAUUCGGCCUUAACAACUUUGGUCGAACAAUAUUUUCUUAAAAGCUUCGAUUAGAUCAAGGAUUCAGGGCCAUAGAGCCUCUGAUUCACUAGAAAAAUGAAAUGAUCUCCAACACUUAGAUAUAUCAAACCACUCGUUCAAGUGAACAAGAGAAAAGAAGAGCCCGUUGGAAUUUUGACAUUAAUUAAUGAAACUUGUAACUUUUGUAUUGUACACAGCGGUUGGGCUGUCGGCUAUGGCUCUGAUCUUCAUUGGAAGCUUGUGGAUAUACUGGCUGCUGAAGAAGCUGAGGCUCGGAAGGCUCAAAAGGAAGCACUUCAUGCAAAAUGGAGGCCUACUAUUGCAACAGCGAAUCACAUCUGCUCGCAGGGCCACCGCGAGGAUCUUCACCAUUGAAGAGCUCGAGAGAGCCACCAAUGGCUUCAACAAGGACAGAGUGAUCGGCCACGGCGGCUACGGCACGGUAUACAAAGGAAUUCUUCCUAACGACCAGAUCAUCGCCAUUAAGAGAUCAAAGCUGGUGGACGAAUCCCAGAUCGAAUCGUUCAUAAACGAGGUGGCCAUUCUCUCUCAGAUCAAUCAUAAAAACGUGGUUAAGCUACUGGGUUGCUGCUUAGAAUCUCAAAUCCCUCUCUUGGUUUACGAGUUCAUCUCCAACGGCACGCUUUUUCACCAUAUUCAUGAGAAAUCCAAUACAGUGAUUCUGUGGGAGACCCGCCUACGAAUCGCAACAGAGACGGCAGCAGCUCUUGCUUAUCUCCAUUCGAGGGCUUCUAUACCCAUCAUUCAUAGGGACGUUAAGUCAGCUAAUAUAUUGUUAGACGAGAGCUACACUGCAAAGGUGGCGGAUUUUGGGGCGUCGAGGCUGGUGCCUUACGACCGCACGCACGUAACGACGCUAGUGCAGGGGACGCUGGGUUAUUUGGACCCCGAAUACUUCUACACGAGCCAAUUGACGGAAAGAAGCGACGUUUACAGUUUCGGAGUUGUGCUAGUGGAGCUGCUAACGGCGGAGAAGCCGGUAUCGUUUUGUCGGUCGGAGACGGAGAGGAAUUUGGCCUCGCAUUUUGUAAUGCUGCUGGAAGGGAAGAGGCUGUGGGAGGUGAUGGACGGUCGGAUGGUGGCGGAGGCGGGGGAAAUGCAAAUGCUAUCGGUGGCUGAUCUCGCGAGGAGAUGCUUGAGCGUGAAGGGGGAGGAGAGGCCGACGAUGGAAGAGGCGGCAGUGGAGCUCCAUGCGCUCCACAGGCUCAUGAAGCAGCACCUAGCUUUGAGAAGCAGCUUGAAGGAAGGGGCGAGGCCUCUUGCUAAGCCUUUAACUAUCAAUGACAAUGAUACUAUUGGCGAGGUUAGCGCGGAGAUCCACCUUCUAUCGUGCACGGAUAGUCUGUGAGGGAGGAUGAUCGCGCACGGUGAAUACGAUCAAAGAUACUUGAUGACAAAUAAACAUGUAAUUUUUUGGAUUAUUAAUCACCAUCUUUAAUUCUAUCUGUACUUGAGGUGAUUGGUUUUAAAUGCGCUUUAGUUUGUAAGAAGCAUACGCUUUCCUCGGUCAUUUUGUUGUUGAGGCUUCACCGUACGAGUUAGGAUUUGCCUAUAGAUGUACUGAAUUGAAGGCACACCAGCACAAUCCUAACCUGAUUUGAAUAACUAUUCAUCUAAUACCAGAGUUUCUUAUAAGGGCUCGGCCGCUUAGAUUGGAUUCCCAUUAAAUUAACCUGCAACUUCUAUUUCUGCAACUGCGUCCUACGAAAGAUUCGACUUAACUCUAAGCCCUCGAGCCUUCCUAGUACACUUAGACUAGACCCGAGCAAAGAGCGGGCUAUGCAGGGUCCAAGUAUUUUGGGGCCGUGCCCGGAAUUUGUUCGACCUAUUCUGAGCCUGAAACCAAACCAAAAUGAUCGGGUUGGCGGAACCAUACGGAACUGGAUCGCAUAGAAUGCAAAAAUUCUAGUCCGGAACGGAUCAACUAAUCAAAGAGAAAGGCGCUGAAAACUCAGACCCAGACUGAGCCUAACGCAAGCGGCAGAAACGGAUGGACGGGUCGGGCCAGGUUUUUUCUAAGACAUAUAAUCUCAAUCCUAAUCUUCCACAACCUUAAUCCUAAUCUACUUAAGAUUCCGAGGCUAGCUCUCCCAAAGGCCAAAGGGUGAGGGUCGAUGAUGAUGAUCGUCAUAAAUUGACGGUUGAGAUCAAGCCAACAUACCAUCCUCCCCUAGGGUUUUCCUCUUUUUAAGCUCUUUUCUCCUUGGCUUUGCCACCUCUUUCCUGGUCCCCGUCCAUCGAAACCUCGCCAUGUAUGGCAGCGCCGGCGAACCCUAAAGAGGAGGGGGAGGAGGAGAACUCCUCCUCAUCAUCAUCAUCAUCAUCAUCUCGUCCCUUCGCCUCCGCCGUUGCAGCGAUCGCCGUCGCCCAAAUCUGCGGCGGCGCCGGGUUCACCGCCGCGGAGCCCUGCGCCCUCCGCGCCCUCUCCGACGUCGCGGCGCUCUACAUCGAAGCCCUCGCCCGCUCCGCCGCCGGCCACGCCAACGACCGCGGCCGCACCGACUCCAACCUGCUCGACCUCGUCCGCGCCCUGGAGGAGCUCGAGGCGGCGGCAUGCGGCGGCUUCCUCGGGGGGUCAGACCCCGCGCGGCUGCUGCUGCGGUCGAGCAAGCUGAUGGAGCUCAUGGCCUUCGUGCGGGACGCGGACGAGGUCCCAUUCGCCAAGCCCAUACGGCGCCGCGCCGGGAAAGGAGGAGAGAGACGACGGGCUCCGCCGAGCUUCGUGGAGGCGGGGAAAGAGCCGCCGAUGCCGCACGUGCCGCGGUGGCUCCCGUGCUUCCCGGAGUCGUGGGAGGGUUGGGGAAGAAGAGGGGAAAAGGAAAUGGCGGCGAAGGAGGAAGAGGAGGAGGAGAUGGCGGUGGGGACGGGAAUGGAUGGGGUGGUGAAGAGGGAAGAAUCGGGGGUUGCCGGGGUUUUACCGGAGGAGAGGGCGAGGGUCAGGUUUCGGAUCGGGGCUGGUUCUGAUCGGCGAAGGCGAGGAAGGUGAAAAUGGUGGAGAAUAAUGGGGUGAAUUAUUAUUAUUCGGGAAAAUGGAUAUUUAAUGAUUUUUAAUAAUUAAAAUUUAAAUACAGCUGAUUUUUGUUGGGACGGGGAUUCGAUCCCAUGAUGUGCGAGCCAAACGGUAUCGUGUGCUGGACCUGAGCACCAUCUCACCAGCGUAGCGGGAAGACUCGUGGUCUUCAAUAUUUUUAAUUAUUGUAAUUAGUUGAAUGCUUCGUUUACAAGCUCCGCUUCCAUUCCCCCAACUGUUAAUAACUAAGAAGAAGAAAUGCUGGUCUCGCUGGGUAUAGUUGUUUUUGUUUUUCCGAAAUAAAUUUCAUGUGUUGUAGAUAGCAUGAUUUGUUGAAGCGCGGACGUCUAAUUACGGAGAAUCUGUAUAAUGAAAAUUAAUAAUUAGCAGAAACUAUUAGGCUAUUUUUUUUUUUCCCUGAAUAUGCUGUUACAUGAUCAAGAUGUACUCCAAGCUAAUCAACCCUACAAACCACAGUGGAAAACAGUGCGUUUGUGAGAUCCGAAUUCUGCCACUAUCAAAUAUUUCCAAUGUUAUUCCAUCAAAACAUAGCAAUAGAAGGGAACUCUACCUUACUAAGAUCUGACAAAACGAAGCAAACCAAAUGGCUGCUAAAGAUAAUUUACUCACUUUUAUAAAAAGCCCGUACGGAUGAUGAGCUUGUCACUAGUGCUACACCAACAUCCAAAUUCUACAAGUCUAUGCUUCUACAAUCCGCACACACGGCUGCAUUUCAUUAGCAGCUAGUAUUUCAUGUGUUCAAGGCCAUUGCACUCAAUUCAUUUUAAAAGUGACCAUGGAGAAAAAGAGAAGCAUGCCACCAACCCCAACAGUAUGUUUAUAAGCAGGUAAGAUGCCAAAAUUAUGGGCACUGCCUCAUAAGACAUAGACUACAUAUUCAAAAGUCACUCUGCUGGACACCUGAAUCAACGCCAAUAUGAUGCUUCCGUAUUCACGAAGAGUUGCUAAAUUUUUAGGCCAGUUAUAUUUCCAUUAAUGCAGAACAACACAGAAAGAGCGCAAGGAACAGAGGGCCGGAUUAUAUUUGCUUUACCUCGUAUUCAUGACAAAUUCUCAAAGGAGUGUCCUUAGAAACCGGCCUCUCUUCAGACCACAACUCCAAGUUAACGGUUCCAGUUCCCCAGUGCAACAAACACUUGCUAACCUGACUCAGCUCAAAGCGGUUGAUCAAACACACACCUGUGCAUUUGUCAACCAGCAUCCAUUCCCCUGUAAGAGUAGCAAAAAAGCCAAAUAAAUGAUGAGAUGAAAAAUUAAAAUAAAAUAAAAUAAAAUAUUACGCAUUCAUGUACGUAGAAGACAUAAAAAUAAACCGAAGUACCAAAUGCUGUUAUUGAAGAUAAGUAAAAUUGUACGACUUUUUAUCUGAACUACAGUGUGUAUUCAUACUAGGAGCCUGAAACUUUGAAAUUUUUUAUUUUACCUAACAUUACAAUAUAUUUGAUUCAACUAUUCCACUGUCAGAACUAAACAACAUUAUUAAUAUCUUUAACUAUAUAUUCUAUAACUUGACUAGAUAUCCGCAACUUUUGGACAUUUUUGCAACUUUCCUGACGGAAUUUGUGAGUUCUAACUAAAUUUGAUGGAACUUUCUAUAAUCGAAAGAAAGAAAAGGAAAUGAGGUGAAAUAAUUUUUUUUAAAAAAAAAAAAAUCAACUGCCACUUUCCUAGUAUCCUAUAUUUUAGCAAAGGUCUGCAUGUUUUUGUCUUAAGAUGUAAUAGCGUCAAUCAACCAAUCAAUUGCACGCAAAAUGUAUAUUUUACCAUUAGGACGGAGAUCUCCCUCAAAUAAUUGCUCUCCAGGUUCGGGGGAGAUCUCAUGCAUCAAACCAUCAAUAGAGGUGAAAGUGACCAAAACUUCAGAGGGGUGUAGAAGGGUGAAAGUUGGGUGCACUCGCAAGCAUACCAACCUAUUACACACCAAGGAAAAAAAUAAUAAUCAUCAUUUUAUUAGUUUUUUGUACGCUAGAAAUAAGAACAUUAAGUCUAAAGAUAAACAUUUAGGCCGUGUUUGGAUGUUUGAAUAGAUAUCCAAUAAUAACUUAUUCGGUAUGAAGAUUUUCUUCUAUAAUUGGAAGAUAGGAGUUAGAUUUUUGCUCCUUGAAGAGUUUUGGCAUCCAUGAUUUAGUAGGAUAAUAUAGGAUAAUAUAUUACACCUGAUUUGUCUUAUUUGAAAAAAAAAUGACUUGAAUGCAAUUUAUGGCAUCCAUUUUAAACAUUUGAUCAUACCAAUCUACCAAAUACUAUAAGCUUUUUGAGUAAAUUGAAAGAAUAGACUGAAUAAGAUGUUCAUUUAUAAAAAAGGUACGAAUGGUGAUAUUAACCUUGAGAAACCACCAGAACCAGCUCCAACAUUCUGCGCAACAAUGCUAGAGUCAAUUUGGAGGAUCUUUCGGUCAUCCUUUGGAAUAGAUAUCUGGCGGCGAAUAAUCAAUCCACCACCAACAUCCCCCUCCAAGCAAAGCGAUUCUUCCUCUCCUGAUUGUUCAAGGUCCCUCCUACAAAUUCAAUCAUCAAGGGAUGAUUAAAAAUGCAUUGAUUAAUUUAUAAUAGAAAAGGCAGGUAACAGUUUGUCCAGGUUAUACAACUAGUGCUGACAAUUAACAUGCAAAGACAGAUAAAAAUACAGGAGCACAAGUUCCUAUCAAAUUAGCUACUUCAUCAGUAACAUAACAGAAAGGCCAAAAGAUCCUUACCCAACAACCUUAUACUCCUCAGAGCAACCAGAAGAUCGGUAUUCUGUUCCACUGUACUCUUCAUAUCCAUCUCUUUCAACUCUGCUAUGAAGCCACUGGGUACCUAAACCAAAUAUUAAAAGAGAAAAGAUUUAUAUUUCAACUACUCUAGAAAGAUAAAAACCUAUAGAUGUAGCAGUAUACAUAAAUCUCUCAUGCGAACUUGGUAGCUCCCCUUCUGAAGACCUGCAGCAAAUACAUCUCACAUGAAAUUUUAUUUGGGAUCCUAAAAUGAUCAUGCCUUGGCAAGAAGCCAAGAGAAGAUUUGGUAUUGUUUCACAUAUUGUCACAUAAAAAUGAGAUACCUAAAAAGUUGCUGCCAAGGCACAUUCACUGACACUCCAUAGUCUAGUCCAUGUCUACAAAAAUGGGACAAAAAGAACUAUCAAAGCAGGCUGACAGUUAGGCCUGAUUAAAUGUUUUACCCACACAGCUAACUGACUCUGAUGAUUUCAAACAAAUUCACCUUCUUUUUUUUCCCGGGGGUUGGGGGGGGGUGGUUUGGAGGAGAGGAUGGGGGGGUUUUUAGCCCUAAUGAUAUUGUGACAGCAUAAGCUUGUUGUUUAACUACACAGUUUAGCCUACUGUCUGACCUCUUCGUAAUAUUUAGGCUUUAGUGAAUGUCUUUGCAAACUCUUACUUAACUAGUUAACAAAAAGCCCAUAUCGGUGCUUUACUAGCUUACACUGGCAAAAGGCAUCAAAAGUUUCCAGGGGACAAAAAACAAAUCUAGACCGUCAAGCAAAUGAAUAAUAAAGAUUUUAUGAAGGAUGAGUGAUAUGACUUUUACCUGUAGGGAUAUGCAUCAUUGAGAUAAUCCGCCCCCCAAUCCACGGUACUAUUUUGAGAACCCAGUCACCACUUUUCAGAUCGAUAGGGAUUUUUGACAGCUCAAUGCCCUUUACUCCAGAAACUUCAUCUACAUCUGGGAUAGGCUUAGCUGCUUCUGUACAUCAUUGUAAUAGCCUUCUCAUAUGAGUAGAAAGACAUAUAAACCACAAGAAAAGAAGAGAAAAAGAACUAUAGCCAAUACAAUUAUUCUCAUUUUCCGCAUUUCUGUCUUCUUUACUUCUGGCGGCAUACUAGUAUAGAACAUGCACACUAAUAAAAAUGGCAAGGAAAUCUUGAGCAAACAAGAUAUGAUUUACUGCCUUGUUAGCACAGCUAAUUGACAAAUGAUAUAAAAUCCGUCCGACCAUUUCGGAUGAUACUUUUCCCAUUUUAUAUGCUACCUAACCUGAUAUCGUAGAUGCAACGAUUUAAGUGCCAUGGAAUGGGAUUGUGCCCAAAAUUCCCUAACACGGUAUACCAUGCUACGUGCCGUAUCAUGCUGAUGCAUGUCUGUCACAAAAAAAUACCUAUGUGUAUUGACACACAAUAGCAUAAAAUAUUUAUUUUCUUUGGCAUCAAUAUAUUUUAACUACUUAUUAUAUAUUUUAAUCAAAACUUUUGCACUUUAUUACGAUAAAUACUAGCUAAUUUCAAAGAAAAAAAAUUUGAGCCAUGGCAUGGGCACGGGGAUCAUAUCAUGCCAAUAUAUUGUCCGCACAAUCCGUGUCGAUGGGCACUUGAACCCUUGCUUAGAUGUGUGCACAUUUGUAAAUACAGUAUCAAAUUGAGAAGAGCGUAAAAGCACCUAAACGUGCUCUGUACUGAUUUUCACUUUCUGCUACUAAGUUGGACACUUCAGAUUCCGAAGGCACUAUGAUAUGUAUUUCAUCUCCAUCAGUGCCUUGAGAAUUGAUCUGCAAAAAGAAAGUUCAAUACGAAAUAUACAGUAUGCUAUCAAAAUAAGUGCUAUUGAAAGGGAAAGAAAAGAACUAAGCAUGGACUGAAAAAAUACACACCAUGGCACCUCCACCCAGAAGUAAAUGCACAUGAAGCACACGUUUUGGCCUCUUCCGUAGUCCUUCAGUCUUAGAGACUUUAACUGUCACGACUGAAGAAUCUAGUUCAGCAGCAUAGUAAGUCAAGAGAAAAUCUCCUUUAGUGUACUCAUAUCCGUCGCCGUCAUCCUCAAACAAUACACCAGCAGCUUUACCUGGGAAAAGAAGCAGAUGCUAAUAUAGUUCAUGGCAGAAAUAUGGUUUGUAGCCGCACACACAAAAAAAAAACACCAAGAUAUUUUGCACUAAAAUUGAGAAAGAUUUCAACACUAUGAGUGAGUGCAAAAUUAUUUGGUACUUGUUGACGACAUCUGUCUCUCUGUUUCAUAUAGAACUACAAUAUAUAUAUCCUUCAAAACUAUACCCAAAGAAGACCAAGUAGCUGGGAAUUAACCAAGGGGGUUAAAACAAAUUUUACCAACAAAUAUGCAUCCUUUAAGACUAAACCAUCAAUGCACAUCGGCACAAAAUGAUGUUGAAAAGAAACAUGCUAUUACUUAUUUAUUCCAAAGACAACUAUACAGCAGUGGAGUCAUUUAUACAGCAAACUAAAGAAGACAGUCACUUUAGACCACUGUCAUAUGCUUAUUGCACUUUAAGCAUAGCCGCCAAACAUCUAAUGCAUGACUUUAGACCACUGUUCAUGCUUAUUACACUUUAAGCAUAGCCACCACAGGUUUAAUGUAUGAUGGGGCAUUAAUGUCAAGAAAUAAUACUGAGUAGCAUCGAAUCCACAUUAUUGUUGCACAUGGUUUAUGGUAUCAUCUAAAUGUGUGCAUGUAUAUUUAAGAAACACUCCUGAACCACUUUCAGUGAAAAAUUACAGGGAAUGCAUUUAUGCUGACGUCGAUGGGCUAACAGAUGUAUAUAUGCAGAUAUUUUCUUUGUCAAGGCUACCAAGUAAAGAAAAGCCUUUAUAGUUCAAACCAAACAAUAGAAAUACAAAAAAUAACAGAAGUUACCAUCUUUAUCUAAAGCAACAAAAAGUGACAAGUCGUCCUCUGCUUUUGCUUCACCAACGUGUUGAAUUGGAGGCCCUAUGGGAAGUAUUGACCCACCUUGUAGAAACAAAGUUGGCAAGUCCUGAGAAAUAUUUUAAGAAAUAUUAAAACAAAGAAAUCAACAGUAAAGGAGUAAGACCUUGUAGUAUAUGUGAAUUAACUUACAGGAUGUGAAUCACCAAAAUCAAAAGGUAACCAGAUUCCUUUUGGCAAGAUGUGCGACAAUUCAUGUGCACUUUGAUCAGGACCAGUGCUGUCAAUUACACUCAACAAUGUCAAUAAGAAGAGCAAAUGAUGGUGAAAACAUAUUAUUGUGCAUUCCUCAACUACCAUUUUUUCUGUUUAUAUUUGCCCAUAAAAGGAUCAAAAUACAUAAAUUCUCAAAUAUGUUAAUCUGCCCAAGAAUCAACAGAUAGUUGAUAUCCCAAACAUUCAUGAAACAAAGAUGAUCAUUUUUUGACCCAAAAAAGAGUAAGGUAUACCUAGAACAUAUCAGAAGUGGCCCCAGUAAAAAUGAAUUCUCAACUGUCCUCAACCUUGAAUCUUGUGGAUCUGCACAAACCAGCAAGGCGUCAAUACAUAAUUCGUCAUGCUCUCCUAACAUUGGAUCAAACUUGUAGAAGUUUACCAGCAAAAAAAGUUGGAGCAGCAACAGGAGUUCCAUUCAUAUGAGACAUAUAAAAAAGUGUAUAUAUGUGAGGAAGCAAGCGAUAACGCCUCAACAAUGCCAGACGGCAUACUUCUUCACACUGCGGAAUAAACCUAGGAUUAGAGUUGACCAAAAGAAAACAUUUUAGAAGAUAAAUGCUUACCCCCUUCUUUUAUCACACUCACUAGGUAAUUCUGGAUAUGUAUGUCAUCUAUUUCUCAAAAGAUUCAUUUUCCUAAAUUUAGAGAUAAUAUGAAACCUAAUCAAAAUAAUUUUAAGAAGUUUCAAAUGCAAGCUAAACAUAUUUUGCACAGGCUUGCCAUUUUUUGGCCUAAUGAAAAAUUCAAGUUUUUUAACUUGAUCAUAAGAAUGUUUAACAUACCAAUGAAUGCAUCACUUGUAACAUAAAUUGUGGUGACUAGAGUACUACCAAUCGAAAUUCAUUUGAAAUGGACUAGAUCUCCAUCAUGUAGCAUUGGCAGGAAAUGAAAGACAGAUUUAUUUUCAAAUGUUUAAACAAAUACAUGCGUCAUGCAGGUCUUGAUCUGGUAAAGAAUACAAAGUACCUAAAAACAUGAUUUGACCUAAAAUAAUUAUUCAAAGGCAUGUUCAAUGGUGAAGGUUUCUACUCUCAAAUGAAAUGGCAUCUAUAAUUGAAAUAAUAGUUCAUUAUUAGCAUGAUUUUACUAUUAGAUGCAUCUCAGAAAAAGAGGAAUGAUAAUAUCAGCUUGUAAGUAUCAGCAUAUUCAUAGUAUGCACUGAAGAACAAAAGUUACCUGACUUUUUGUGCUUAUCUUUGGAUAACAGAUUGAUCUUGAAAUUACUAGAUUAAAAAGCAGGCAUUCUCUAGGAUUUGAAAUUCUGUCCAAAGAUGUACUCACAGUUCUGGAGUCAAAAGUUUUCAAAAAUGUUGCAGGAUAGAAUUGAAAGUGGAAAAUCAUUGGGCUAUUUAUGCUUUGUUGCUACAGUUAUUUCACGCUUAGCGCACUAUCAAGUGACUGAAAUAAGCAUUUGAGGUACUUGAAGGAUAAGUAUUGAGGAUAUACUUCUUCCCCAAAUGACCAGGGCUCAUGGUCAACUGUUCCCUGUUCAGUGUGCCCACGUGAGAAAGGAAACAAAGCCCCGACUCCCAUCCAUCUACCAAAAAGUUUCGCUGUUGCAUUUCCAGCAAAUCCGCCAAUAUCUGGCCCAGAUAAUGGCUGGCCACUAAGCCCCUGUCAGAAAACUAAAUAGUCAUUGAACUAAAUAUAUAGAAGCCCAAUAUAAAAUGCAUUCUCCAUAUGGUUACAUUGCUAAUAUUUUUAUGGACUAGACCUUUCCCUCAAUCCCCUAGAAAUUUGUGCUUGUGUCUGGCCUCAUCAUGCUUGGGAAGGUUUUGAUGCAAUCUAGACUCAAAAUCCGAAUCCAUAUUCAUACCCAACUUCUAACAGGUUUGGGACUGGGCUCAGAUGAAACAUAAAACAAACACAAUCCAAACCCAUUUUUUUAGAUCAAAGCCCAUUAGCAGAGCAUCUAAAUAGCAACCACAGGGCACCUAAGUGAAUCCGAAUUUCUAUUCUCUGGGUCACAUGCACAUAGCACCUCCAAGCACCUAAUACUGUAGAGCUCUUCUACACCUUAGUAGGCAGUGUCCCUAAGGCUGGCUAAUGUUUUUAAGUAAACAUCUGCAAAUUGGAUGUCAUAUAGACUAGAAUAUGCUUUGUUCCCAAAAGAGACUAGUAAGCAACUAAGCAUACACAAAAAAACUUACCAAUUGAAGAACCAUAGAUAUACUCAUAUGGAGGUGCUCCCAAUUCGACAAAUUAUCUCCAGUCCAGGUUGCAGCAUAACGCUGACUUCCUAUAAACCCAGCUCUUGUAAGAACAAAAGGUCUUUUAGUCCGACAACCCAUUUUCAUUCCCUCAUAAGUUGAUCGUGCCAUCAGCAUGCCAUAAACCUGCAUGUAGCUAAAAGUUGAGAAUUAUUCCAAACUUCAGUAUGUAAAAAGUAAUAAAAGAAUUUCAGAAUAAGCAAAAUUGCCACAAUACCUGAAAUAGCUCUUUAUUCAUUUGAAACUUAACCAAAUUCUAAUUUAGUUUGACGAGAUUACAUGUAUGCUAUAUAUAGAUAAUUACAUUAUGAUAAUGAGAAUGAUUUUGGCAACCGCCAAGUUCAUCAUCUCCUCUGUGGAUGUUGCUCUCUGGCAUUGUUUUCGUUAUGGUCUGCAAAUCAACAAAAAUGAAUGUAAAAAAAAGUUCAACAUCAACGCAUGGAAUUCAAGGUGAAGUCCCAGAAGGCUUACUCUAAAAACUGCAGGCUCAUUCAUAUCGUUCCAUAUCCCAUCAACACCGUUGGACAUGAAGUCUUUUACUAAGUCAGCCCACCAUGAACGUGUCUUUUGUUGUGUAAAAUCAGGGAAAACACAAGGCCCCGGCCAAACGUCCCCUAAAAAACCAGUCAAAGAUUGAAACUGACCUCAAUUUUAAUCCUUCUUAUACUUUGAACUAACAAACUUUACCGACAAAAGGUUUGCCAUCUGCCUUCUGAAUCCAGACAUCAUUUUUAGAUCCACUAUCAAAGACAAAGUAGCCCUCCUCAUAUUUGAUGCCUGGGUCAAGCAUCCAAAUUGCUUGGCAGCCAAUUUUGUGGAGAUCAUUCACCAUAGACUUUGGACUGGGGAAGCGUUCCUACAAUAAUACGGAGGAUUAUGCAUAUUUUGUACAUUUAAGAAGUAAACCCAAUAUGCAGACCAUGAAAUAUUCAAGUCAAGUACCUGAAAUUACUAGGAAAGAUAUACAUUAAAUAAUGAUAUCUAAAACUUCUAACUUACAGAAGCUAUUAUACAAACAUACUUUUAGUCAAGAAGAAGUAUGAAUAUCGUUCCAAUCAUCAGCGAAAUGUAAUUAGUGAACAAAGAAAAACAAAUAACGAUACCUUGCCACAUUAUUGGGAGUGGGCAAACUAAGAGAUGGUAACAUGUAUUUGUCAUACGCAAAAUUGUCUAUGCUUAAGCAUUUCAUAUACAUGGUUGAAAGGAUGUAACCCGUUUCAAAUUUUAUCUGCAUCUGCUGGUCGCUUCAGCUAUUAUGCAAUUCUUUAGCAUGAUAAAUUUGUCACAUAAUAAACUUUACUCACAACAUGGGAAACAAAAUAGAAUAAUAAGAAUCAUACAUGGUCAAAUGUGAAACAUCGGAAACCAUCCAUGUAGUCAAUAUCCAUCCAUAUGACAUCACAAGGUAUGCCUUUCUCACGAAAUGUUCUAGCCACCUGUGCCAGGAAAAGAACGAAAUGUAACCACAAUGAGUAGGUUCUCUAGUUCAAUAUCAGAGUAAGACUAUGCUAUUCGAAUGUCCAAGGACCACCAUAUCCAAAUACAUGGCAAUCAUAAAUCUCUACUGUGAGAUGAAUGCAGGCACUCUUUUUCCUUUCUAGAGUAAAUUUCAGAAGGUUGGGAAACUAAAACUUAAAAGGUCCGCCUCAAGAGGAAAUCACUGAACUUCCAUAAUGAACAGUGCAGUACCUUAAGAACUUUGUCAGCAGAAUCAUAGCUCCAACGGCAUUGAUGAUAGCCAAGAGACCACUUUGGAGGCAUAAAAAUGGUUCCUAAUUUGAGGGCAAUUAUAGUAUUUCAAUCAAUUUGUACAGGAAAAGGUUUAAGUAGCAUCACUAAUUUACUUGUGUUGCAGCUUACUUAGUCCUAUAUCAAGUCGAGCAAAAAAGACAUAAGAAAAUGAAAGGUCAACGACAAUAAGGCAGCAAAAAGAAUAAUAGCUGUGAAUCAUACAUUUAAGAUCUGCAUAUCUUCAGAAUAAAUGAAGAAUUGAACAAACAUGUAAAAAUUUAUCUCUGUAUACUGUUACUUUGUGUUGUAAGGACUAAAUGUUAGAACUUCUGAAACAACAACACAACAAGUGAUUUUUGAAUGAGUCUGUUGAACGUCCCCAUAAACUAGGUAUUGGAGACCAUGUUAAGGGCAAUUCUAAGUUUUGAAUGAUUCUUGAGUGUUGUUCGGACAUCUUUUCCCUUUGCUUUACUGUGGGCUGGUGUUCUAGUUUGGACAAUUUUGAAAAUCUUAGAGUGAGAAUUCUACCAUCCUUUUUUCGUAUUACAGCUUGUUCUUGUUCAAUUUUUAAUUUGUUACAGGAAAGAAUUUUCAUUCAUUUUUUCCAGUUUCUAAAUUAUAUUUUGCUUAAUCAAAUUCAUUUUUCUAACUAUUGUGGAUUUAUUAGUUUGACUUCACAAAUAUACAAGACUAAAACAAGAAUAAGCAAGCUAUUAAGUCACCAAUCUGGUUUAGUAAGGAGCAUAGUUGAUUCAAAACAAAUACGCAGCAUGUGUAAGAAGAAAAAUAAAAGCAAACCACACCAAAGUUUCCAUGCAAAGGUACACCGUCAAUAUAGUGAACAAGGAAAGUAAAAAGCAGAACGAAUGAACGAACUUCCUAUACAUGAUAAUACGAAAGAAAGCAAUUUGUAAGACAACACAGUGACAAUUGAAGUUGGGGUUCUGAGAAAAACCAAUUGCAUGAGAGAGGGACACGAGGACUUCCGUGGGCGACCCAAAGGGACCAAAUGUAAUGAUAGGGUAUGGGGCCGCAGCAGUCAACCUUAUAGUAGAAUCCUCCCUUAGAUCAAUCUGUUGAAGAAGCAUCAACAACAUCAGAUCCCAAGAAUUAAUUAAGGGUCAUUAAAAUCGCAGAAAAACCCAUGUGAAAAAAGGAAAAGAAAUUGCACUAGACCUCACAACGGCGAGUAGUGUCAGCUAGAACCCCCAAUGCCUUCCCAUCAGGAAGAAGCGCAAGAACCCAAGGAUGAGACUGGUAUAAAGACGUGGUCCCAGGUCCAAAACCCCAGGCGUCCGUGUUCCAUGUGAAAACCUAAGAUCACAAUGAUCAAUCUACAACAUCGGGAAAAUUAAAAAGAACGAGAGGAAAGAAAAAAGAAAACUAUCUUGCAAAAAGACGCACACGCUUCCCUGUCCGCUCGAGCUGCCCACUCACUUCUCCAGUCCCAUAAAAUGACGUCCCUGAAGGAAGCUGUCGAAAUCAAGAUAUUAACAAUACUCCGACUCAAAAGAAACAACAUCUUCAAAUAUUAAAUUUCGCAAUGAACAUCGAAUGCGGGCUCUAAACGAGAACGAACCUUAAUUUCCACCUUCUGUUGUCCAUAAACGCACUCGAAUGUGGGUACGUACUCGGGCGCCUUGUGCACCGGGAUCGGCGUGUCCCUGGCCUUUGGAUCCGCGAACGAGAGGCUCGGAAACGCCGCGUCGCGAUCGUUCCCGGAGCAAUCGAAUCGGAACACCCCCUCUUCAAGAAUCGGCUGGAACACCAUCUUCCCCGCUGUGGGAUCGGCGGUGGCGACGCUCACGCCAUUGCCCAUCCUCGAAGCCAACCUCCUUCGCCUGCAACCGCAGCAAAAUCGCAUCAAGAACCUCCGUAGACCCCGCAUUAGAGGAUUCUAAAGCCGACCUUCGACGAUGGGAGAGAAGAAGAAGAAGAAGAAGAAGAAGAAGAAGAAGAAGAGAUUGGAUAGGAGUGGAGGAUUCGGCGAUCGAGAAGAGAGAGGAAAUAUGGGAGGAGGAGAAGGAGGGGCACCUGGGAAGAGGAGAGAAGAGAUGAUGGGAUAAGAGAGAUUGGGGAAAAACCCUAGCUAGUGGGAGGAGAAGAGGAGCCCUUAUUCGUCGAUGGUGAGAGCGGAGAAGAGGGAAUUGUAAUGGGGUCGAUGGUGAUCGGGUAUUUAUUAAGGCCAUUAUUCAGGAGAGAUAUUAAUAAAAACUUCUUUUAUAAGCGAAGUAUAAUAAUAUGAUAUGACCGUUGCUGUACUGAGUGUGGAGAGUAGAGACAAGAGUCUCGUGAACUCGGGACGGAGAGAGAGAGAGAGAGAGAGAGAGAGAGAGAGAGAGAGAGCGUGGGAGAUCGAGAAAAGUGCGUGGUGGGACCACUAUGCGGAUGGUGACGCAUACGACUUACCACGGGCCAGUUGGACGGUUGCCUUUUGGGUCAGCAGGGCAUGACUCGCGUCCGCACGAGUCCUCAUAUACUUCACCGGAAGAUUCAGUAGAUCCACGGAUUCAAUGAAAAUCCGGCCCAAUUGGUAACGCUUAAUGGGCCUAACAACAUUCAUAUGGGUCGGGCCGCGACUGGCCCCACAGGUCAAGGAUCAAUAUUCAGGCCGUAUCCCGGUUCGGACUAGGGCACUAGGCCAUUCCAAACUACAGGCCGGCCCACCACUUCUUUUUCUCAUUUUUUUUGGAAUUUUUUUAAUUGUUUUGUAAUUUUUAGUUUAUUUUUAAAAUAUCUUCCGAUAUUAGCUGAAAAAUUAGGAAUUUAGUGCCAUUCAGAACCUCCUUUUUUUUUCUUUUUUUUUUUUUAAAGCAUAGUGUUAUUCACCUUGGCAUUAGAGGUUUUUUUUUUUUCCGACAUGUACCGUAUGAUUAAAGAUAAAUAAGUUAUUCAUACCUGGGUUCCAUUUCCCUACAAAUGCUUUUCAAAGGACAAAUGUAUGCUUCGCCCAUAUUUAUCCUUAAAUACGUAAUAUUAAUAUUAAUAGUGCACGGCAUACUUCAUAGUUUCCAAGAUUAGUAACUGCACAGUGUGCACCCUAGGAUUCCUUUCAAGGAGGACAAAACGAAGAACAAGAAAGACAAGCACCGCCAAUGCGCCUCAAUCUCGGGUUACAUGCCUUUUCCCCCCCCAUGCCCAUGAUUGGAUUGUAAAAUUAUAUCCCUCUAAUUCAAGCUAAUAGAUCCAAAAACAUAAGUGCAUCAUAAGUGUUGAAUCCUGGUUUCCUGAGAACACGCAACGGAAACCCGAACCAUCAAUCCAAAAUGCAGAGCUCAUCAUCUCUACAGUCGACCAUUUGCGGUGAGCUAAUGAUCGGCCGAGCCAGCGGUCGAAAUGGACUCCUCCCUUCAGAUGGAGGACUCAGAUCAAGUGGUUUGCACAAUUGUUCGCUGAGCACUAGGUUUGCAAAGGAAUUGCUCUCAUCAAUGUUGGACCCAAAACAAAUUUAGCAAGCACGAUUUAAAAACAAGUGUCUAGAUAUUACAUGAUUGAGUUAUUUUUUGCCAGUGUAGCUAAGUAGACGUAGUUUAUUAGGGUACUGAAAUCUGUUCCCGAGGAGUGACAAAGUAAUUAGCAUGUACUCUCUCUAAACAAAACCGAAUGAAGCAGCACAGGGUCGAAAAAUCAAUUCUACACAUAUCUCGGUAGACUUAAUUUUAAUCUUCAUUCAAUGUGAAAAGAAUCAGGGAAGGAAAAAGCCGAGGCGCAUUUGUAACUCUUUCGAAUCGCACACAAUCGCAGGUCAUCACAAAAUAGGUCAGAGCCUACAUCAAUUUCACCAGAAAAAGAAAAUACAUUAAAAAACAAAAACAAGAAGAAGAAGGUGAAGGAUAUGGCUCCUUUUUUCCCCCCCCCUCGAACAUUCAUGUAAGUAUUAAGCCAUUCCAUAUUUAAAUGAAGGAGCUUCCUAGCUAGAGUGCUAGCAUGGAGAAAGCAUGUAGACUGUCCUCAUUGGAUUGCAUGUUCGUUCCUGCACGGCCGAUCGCUCGAUCGUGGAAAAGCCUGAGGGCUCUCCGCCAUCUCCGGCCAUCUCUGGCAUCAGCAAAGAGCACGCGGUUUAGCCGAAAGAGGAAGAGCCUCAUCGCAAACACCAUAUCGGCAUAAGAACCCCUCAUUCGAACGGCGAGAGGAAGCUUGAGUAAGAAGAACCACAAGAGAGCAACAUGGAGAUGAGAGUGGCCGCCGACGGUGCUGCUUGCAGCGAGGAGCUUCAGCUUCAGCAUCACCACAAAGUCUACUGCCAUGUCCUACAGUUGAGAACUCAGGAAAAGGAUACAAGAAGAGAGUUUAUUUCAUGCACAAUGUCCUUCCAUUUAAGGAUCAUAGAUAUAGGAGCAAGCUAAAUUGCAUAUUUGAAUUAUUGGUAGAAAAAAAAAAUUGAAGUAUUGCAUCUUCAUUGAAAUUUCGGACGCAUAUUUGAAUUAUCGAAGGCAAUCAAAUGAGAGUAAAGACAAACUGAGUCUGAAGAAACACAGCAUUAAUAUGUCUUUUUCUACCAGAAAAGCCACCGAGUGGGGGCCUAUAAUUGCAGAUGAAUGAGUACAAGACUCCUGUCUUUGGAUGAUAAAGCUACCUCCUCUCUCAGCUGAGAAAGUUUGAAAUUUGUGUCGGUCCUAAAUUUCAUAGAAACUUAAGACCCUUGGUUCCUUUGUAUGUAGAAGAAAAUAAUUGAAGAGAUAAUAGAACAUUAUUUGAAUAUACAAUUUAAUUUACUACUACGUACUGUUAGCGGCAUAUUUCGGCCCACAAACAAAUCAGGGCUGGAAAACUCGGCCCGUGUUUUACGACCUCAGACAAACUUAAGUAACCAAGAACUAGAUUCAGAAAUCGGGGAGUCGACGGCCAGAUGAUUUGAUCAUCUAAUUCAAAACUUACAUGAGGUCAGGACAGUUAAAGAGCAGCCCUGCCAUCGCGGGGACCAGACAAAAACAGGAGGGCACGAGUUUGGUUCAAACGAAAUUCGGUUGAAUGUGGCAGGAUUAACUGCAGAAGAUAGGCCUGGACAUUAUCGACCAACGGUUACAACCCAAGGCUCUAUAAAUGCAGCAACAGAAGAAGGCGACAGGAUCUCAACGGUAUCCAGUUAUUUUCCCGAGCAGUAGAGCUAAGAUGUAAUCUAUUCAGGCCCUACAUUGAACAAUUUUUUUUCUUAAAAAGCAACUGAUGAUAGGUAUUCCAAGUACUAGUUUAAAAAAGAGCAUCUAAGCCCCCGUUACAAUAUUCCACAAGGAGUUUCCUAAAGAAAUUUCUUUCGAAGGCACCCCUUCCUUACCCUCGGUCCGGUUGAAAAUUAUAUGCAGAUGCUGUAGAAGAAUAUUCCAUUAGAAGUCCAACACGAAAUCACUCGAUCUUUUGAGUUUUGAAAAUGAACUGAUUAGAGAUCAAUCAUGAGAUUAUUGAACUCCGCUAAAGCCCGAGUAGAUAACAAUCCCUCGGUAGCAAACUCCCACAUGCCAUUGACGAGUCGGGAGGGAACCAAACUCAAAUCUAUCUUGCCGCGAAGGACAAGAGAACAGGGCAUCAGCGGGUGCCAUCACCAAGCCAGUUGCAAUACCAUGUGCUUAUGAAUACUUAAUGUCGUCCUAUAUUUUAUUUAGUUCAUACAACAUACUGAGUUGCAAUAGUUUUUUCUAUUGAUACUUAGAUUUGAAAGUACAAGACAGAUGGGUGAUAGUAAUAUGGGUGAUAGUAAUGUAAAUGGGUAGCUUAGAAGGUAUAUUUUGGAUAGUUGGUGAAAAUCAAAUAAGUUGCUCCAAAAUGGAGUAGCAAAAUAAAUAGCAUACUUUUACACGGGCAAUUGCCAGCUUGUGGAAAAGCCUUUAGGGAUCUUCGCCAUCGCUAACCAUCACAUGCAUCAGCAAGUAGGACACAGUGUAGACAAAAGAGGAAGAGCCACAUCAUAAACACCAUAUCAGCAUAUGAACCCCUCAUUCACACACCAAGAGGAAGUUCAAGUAAAAAGAAAUAUGAGAGGGCAACAUGAAGAGGAGAAUGGCCGCUGCUGCCGCCGUCACUUGCAGCGAGGAGCUUUAGCUUUAGCAAUACCACAAGGUCUACUGCCAUUUUCAUCUAUUAUAAACACAGGAAAAAAGGAUAACAAGAGAAGGGUGAAUUUUCAUAUACAAAGUCCUUCCGUUUUAAGCAUCCUAGAGAUAGGGUCAAGUAAAUGUGCCUUUAACAUUAUGGAUAGGAAAAAAAAAAAAAAAAGGUACUGCAGUUUCAAUGAGUUUCAGAGGCAAUGAGUUGACACUCAAGAACAUUGCAUCGAUGUUUGUCUCUUUCUCAGCCUAUGAAAACAUUACAUGAUUGUGGUGUUUGAAUAAUGGAGCUACCUUCUGUUUUGUCUCAGUGAACCAUUGUGGUGUAGACCACUCCAACAUUAAUUUCAUCCCAUCAUGAUCAAGUGUGAUGUUUUAAUAGGAGCUGGUUCUCUAGACCAAUAUGAUAGCACUCCUUAAUUUAUACACGCCAUUAAAGAUGAACUUCCUUUGCAGCAAUCAAAAUUUUGGAAGAGAAAAUGCGGCAUGAUGUCAAAUUCUAAGAGGAACAUCUCUUUAAUCAGUUCGACGGAUGUGCCAUUUGGAAUAUAAUGAAACAAAGCUCUGAAGGGAGGUGGUGAUGGUGACGGUGCUGCCAAAAUACCAUCCAUAUGAUUAAGCAAGCCAAUCAUGAAGCAGAAGACAAACAACUAUCUUUGACCUCCAAUAUAGAUUGAAAGAGAGGCUGUAUAACUUGUUCUAUCUACUAAGUUUGAUUACUCAUACGAAUCCUUGCACAAAAUUUACAAGGCACAACCCUACAAAGCAUAUAAACCCUUAACCGAAAAGAUAACUACAGUUUCCAGUUGAAGGCGAGGCUAUCUAAGUAAGCCACAGGAGAGAUAUUAUAAUACCUCCAAAGGAAUUCUACUAUGUAUCUCGACUUUCUUCAAUGUGUUCCUCUUGAAAUUGCAGAGAAUCAGAGAAUCUGGAUACCAGGAAUUAGUACUAAACCACCCAAGCCAUAUCUCUCCAUCACUACUUGUAGAAGUCACAGGUCUAAGAAAAUACCUUUCUUUCAAAAGACGCGGCCUUUCCACACGAAGAGUUGACACAGUGUGCUGUUUGAUCCAAAUCUCUCUCUCGUAAUCCUUCAUCACCCAAAUCUCCAUAACUGAUUCUUCCUUAACUUGGCAGAGGCCAAGGGAUCCUUCGAUCUCCAAAAGAUGGUUUCGAUUAAUCGACCGGGUCGAAUUGGGGUGCGAAAUUUGGCGGAAUUCCUCGAGUUGGGUAUCAAAAGCAACAAUCCCAUUAGUAGUACUGCUUGUAAAGGCAUCAUACUUUGAUCCCAUCCAGUGCAAACAACCAUGGAGCAAAACGGGACAAGCUAUGGAACAAGAUGGAACAUUGUAAUCCGGCCAACCAAUCCGCCUCCAUGAAUCGGAAUCGAUCGCCACGGUACACACUUCAAACCCUAAUCCGGCGAUGGUCAAAAGAAGUCGAUAAUCUCCGGCGGGGUGAUGCAGGUAGAAUCCGCAGAGAACACCCAUUUCCGAGUUGUCGGAUCUGGGCACAAAAACCCAAUCUUUCGUGAUCGGAUUGGUGACGUAGUAGUUAGAAUUCGAGGCGGAUUCUCGGAAGCAGAGGAAUCCGUUGCAGGAGGCGACCAAUUUGAGGUUAGGGUUUUCACUACCGGGGAAACUCUUCGUCUUCGUAGGAGAGAGGGCGAUCUCGUCGACGCCGUGGGAGGAGGCGUCGAAGAGGUAGAGGACGGUGGAGUCGGUGAGGUCGUAGAGGGGUUGGGCUUCUCUCCGGGAUUGCAGGAAGAUUGCGUUACGUAAAAAUAUUCUAUUUGUUUCUGUACGUAAUAUUGCAUUCCGAAUAUCGCGAUGAGCACGAUAUAUUUUCUGCGGUCCCAUCAAAGAACGCAGAAGUAUAUCUUUAUAUGUUUUUUUUACAAUUCAAUUUUAUCCAAUAGCGUUAGAUAGAUCUCAAUACCAAACUAAGCCGAAGUAUUUUUAUCCUCAACUAUAAUAUCUGCGAAUAAGAUUUGGUCGGUCAUGGGAGUAGGAAGGAGGAAGGGCGCGAUGGUAAAUUGUAGUUAAUGGCACUUUGCAGACUACUUUUAUUCGUUUUUAAUCUGAGCACAGCUUUCUUGUUUCACCCAUUCUCGAGUACAAAUCACUUACAUUCAUUUACCACUUUUAUUUUUAAAUUUCUCGAUGAAGAAAUUUAAGAUCUACGCCACAUAAUAGAACAUACACGGAUUGCAGGAAAGCAAACCCAAAUAACCCUCUCUCCUGGAUCCGACCCAAAUACCACAUGAUUCUGCGUGCUCACAUUUGUCAUCGGAACAAAUCAACAACAAAACCAGAAUGGUAUAAAAGUGCAAAUGUUUUAGAUGACAUAAACUCCUGGAGCAUACAUAUAAACCGGACCUUGCAACCAACAACAAUAAAUGCUGCAAAUUAAAGACAUAAACCUCACGUAAAAUCUAAAUCACUCCAAUAGGCAUCAAGUUUGCUCUCCUGCAGUCUCACAAAGUAACAUAAGAAAGGGCAAAAAAACAGAAAAGCAAAAAAAAAGACAAUAUUUUCGGAAAAAACGAAAGGCAUUCAAGGCUAUUUCCAUUGCUUUGCAAUACACUACAAACAAGAGAAUACAAGUUCAUAUAUGAGAACUAAUCCUGGAUUACAACAAGCAGGUAAUCAGAUAUGCUAACUCAGAUAUGCUAACUCUGUUCGCUGAGAUUAUUCGGAGAUGAAGAUUCCAGAUGCAUUUAAGUUACAGCUUUCGCAUCAUCUGAUGUUUAUGCUUCACAUAUACUAUUUCCGGUUCUUCAAAUAUGCUUCUCAGCACACACUGUAACUACUGAAGGACAGAGCCCCUGAUAAUAAAUAACUGAUGUAUCCCAAUGUAAAUAAACUCUUUUACAUGAUUUUUGAAAAGGUAUGUAAUUUGCGGAAAGGCUUAAACAACUAAAUAUAAUGAAAGCUGCAGUUAGUACACUUUACAAGAGUCAGCCAACCCAAACGGCGAAUACCUGAUUGCUCCUUGGAGAGUUUGCUCCCUUCUCUCAAAGGGAUCAACAGCAAGAUGUCAAUCUCCGCGACAUUGACGUAAAUCACCAUGAUAUAUUUUACACUGACCAAUCAGGUCCUCAUUUACCAAAGCAAUCGGUUGAUCAGAAUCACUUACUGAAGCAACCAAGGAGAUCAAUUCGUCACUUUAGCUAUAAUAAGCCAAAAUGUUCCAUUUUUUUGGCAGUCUGUUUGAUGUAUCUCUUAAAGCUAAUAAAGCUGGUACCUAUGAUGUAUUAUCUCUUACUGCCGGGCUAGCCAUUUUUAAGCGGUGAGAUACAGCAAUUGGGGACCUCCCGACUGCUUCCAGAAUCCUACUGAACACCACCUUCACAGGUACACAUGUGACCAAGGGAGCUGCUCCCUCUGGUUUGAUCAAGCUACCCAAAACAUCCCCCGUCUCACCCCCAAGCUUCUUUUCAAUAGCAAUUGAAGAGAGAGUUCUAAUCUUCUGGCUCGACAAGUUAGUUCUUUUAAAAAGCUUCUUCUGAAACUUCACUGAUGAUGGUCGAUUAGCACGCGUGAUACUCCUCUUUGCCAACUGGGCCUUAUGAUUAUGGAUGGAAUGCUUCUUUAAAUGAGGAGCCUUGAUUUCCCAAUCAGAAUAUAGAAGAGCCUUCUCGUCAUCAUUAUCAUAAUCGCCCUCUAAAGUAGAUGUUAUGGGAUUAGAACGGGGGACUCUUUGCAUGGCAGUUCUUCGGCCUGUCCUCCAAAAAGGCCGUGGUGCGGUACUUUCAUCAAGGCUGACAUUAUUAGCCAUAAGAAGUUGAGCAGUGGAACCAUCUUCGAGUAUCUCGAUUUGAACAGGAUGUCCAACAAUUGCUUUGCCAUUCAAUCUGCUCAUUAGAGAAACCAGAGGAACAUGCUCGCCUUGAUAGCUUGCUUGCACCUUUAGAUCAACAUCUAUCAAUAUCGGUUUUCGACCAACAUGAGACGUCCCUUCCACUUCAUAGUCUGAUAGGGGGAUCAUAUGAGAAUGGUUUUCAAUCAAAUCAGACUCAUCAUAAUCAUAGAGAAACUCCUCUUUCACUUGGUAAAUUCUUUCCGAUUUAAAAGUUCUUCCCCUGCUUUGAUACAUAGAAUCCCUAAUAGAGCCAUCAUUAUAGUUAUCUGAACUCAUCUUUCCAUCUGUCAAAUCCAUAGACCUCUUAGACACAUUACGGUUGUUGCGUUUACCUUUCAUAUGCCAUUUUGAGACCCCAGCAUCAGCCGAACCAUCCACAAGGUCCUCAUUAGAGUUCAAUUGGGGAACAUAAUUAGACAGAGGCAUCAUUUCAUUAUUGUCCAUAUCUCUGAAGUCUUCUGAAAAUUUAGAUGCGGAAGGACCACACACGUUCAGUUCUGGUGCUAAUGUCUGAUUUGUAUCUGCAAACAUAUCAGACAAUCAACACUACAUAGAACUUCCAUAAGAAAAGGACUGCUCUAAUCAAAUACUCAUAAAAAUGUAUUAAAAAGCCAAUUGCAAAGAAUGUAAGACGACAUAGUGCAAAUCAAGCGUAAAGUAUAGGGCCACAUUAUAUACACGAUAGGGAAUAUCAAAAUUCCUUAACCUUAAAUAAUGGCAUUCCCAUAAACAACAGCAUUCUACAUAAAGUAAUCCUGGAGAAUUUCAGAUUAGUGCAUUUAAGACAUCGCGAAGCAAUAAUAAGAAAAUCGAAAGCCAAGAGGAAUAUAUACCAACAAAACAUUAACAGAAAACAUGUAAAUACACCACAUAUGAAAAUAAACUUCACAUUAGCAUGUGAUAGUAUCAAGACAUGAUUUCAAAGUACUAAAAAGUCAGCUUGCAUCAACUGGUCAUAUAUCAAAAUAAAAAUUUGUGGCACUCAGCAUAGUCAUGAUGCACUGCAAUGACUAGCUCAGGGAAAAUAAAAUUGAUUAACUGCUACACAGGCAAUAACAUCUCGGCUCUGUGGCCUUGCACACGGGGUGCUAAAGGAUAUUCCUAACCAAGAUAUCAUGCAAGCUCAGAAACCAAAAAGAAAAAUUGAAGGAUUUGUUCAGUAAACAAUCAUAAAGCUAGAUGUGUUGUCAAACAUUUUAGCACUUUAUUGCUUGUUAACAAACUGAAAGGAGAUAACAUAUGAUAGCCAAGCAAACAAGCAUUUCAAUUUUUAGCAGCAGCAAAAGAAUUAGGGUGAUAUCAAUAAGUCUUACCAUCACGGAAGCAACAGAGCAAACAUUAUAAUAAGCUGCGUAUGGCAUCUAAGUAUGCAGGAAUAGUAAGAAAAAAGAGCUUUCCCUUUUUUCUAAUACAUGAAAUAACUUGUCCACAGCACAUGCAACGUGGUGACUUGCAAAGAUGCAAAAGGAAAUACCAAUAAUCUCAACCUCCAGAUAGAUAGAGAAGCUGAAGAUAUAGGAUCCAGAUAGAUAGGGAAACUGGUAUAGAAGAAUAUACAAUAUAAUAUUAAGCAUCGACUUGCAAUAAAGAAGCCAGAUAACAUAGGGGGGAAAAUAAUUUCAAGCCCAAUACCUAUGAAAAGCUCUCUCUCCUCAUCCGUGUCAGUUUCUGAGCACUCCCUUCCUAAAGAAUCAGACUCAUUCUUUAAGCCCGAAGAUGUAUAAUCUUCUGCCACACCAGGAUACUCAAAGCAACUUUCCAAACCAAAAUCAUCUCCUGCAGUAGGCAACAGGUCUGAAGGAAAUCCAUCAUUAUCCAUAAAAUCUUGUGAAUCAGCAGGUAAAUAUAUGCAAUGACUUCUUUUCGCCCGACAGAUUGCACUCCCCAUUUCUCUUUCUCCUUGAACAGAGACAGCACUACCAUCGCGAUCCACAUGCAAAGAAUGAUGAGCUGGCAGUUUUGAACUACUUUGUAAAACCUGAACAAGUGGUCGACGCCUAUCACGUUUUUUAACACUAGACUCCUCAAAUGCACUGUUCUGUGAUCGCUUCUUUUUAGCAACCAAUGCAUUUUUCUCACCACCAGUAUGAAGAAAAUCAUCAACAUGAUCAUAGGCGUGGUUCUGUGACAUCUCCCAAGCAACAGAUGGGGACAGCUUUCUCUUAGGAGCAAUUCGUAGACCAAAAUCCUGAAGCCCUCUCAUCCUAGGAAUGGUUUCUGUUGUAUCUUCUUCCCAUCUGAAUUGCUUAUUACUUCUGCUUUUGUAUUCAUCCUCUUGAGACCAGGCUGCUUUUUUGGGAAGCAUCUGAGAUUUAUAUCCAGAAAUUUUAGCGUGUAUCCCAGGCUCCUCAUUUUUCAAGUACAUUUCUGAAGAAGAUGAGUUAUAAAGCUCCUUUCUAAAAGCACCAGAAGGCUUAUUGGCACCGCCAUUAGAAGUGGCACCUUGUUUCUGAUGCUUCUGCUCAAGCUGUUUUCUCUCAAGUUCAAGAGCAUGGAGAAUAGCAUCUUCUCUACGUGCAUAUUUCUCUCUUUUCUUUAUAGGAGCACCUUGGGCAGCCUCAGCCCUCUCAAUACAAGCAUCAAACUCACCGCAUCUGAAUGCCUUUACACGUUUGGAUUUCUCUAGAUUGUACCAGUCCCUGCAUAAGAGACGACAGAAAUGUGAACUUAACGAAGGACACAAUUUUGCUGCUUAUUUUAGAAUCCUAUAGAUGUAACUUCUUUCUGGACCAAUUGAAAGAAUGAUCUACAAGCACUCAAGCUAGCUCUAUGUUACCUAGGCGAAAGAGAAGAUUAAUAACUGCACAAUAUUUUUUCUCAAAAAAAAUAACUGCACAAUAUUAGCACACACAGUAUGGCCAGUUAUGAGUUCAUCUCAACUGCAGCCAGACCCAGGAGGCCAACCUCAAUAUAACAGUUAGGAUGGUGUUAGAUCUUUUUUUCUUCCCAUCAUGCUAUUGGUUAAAUUUGUCACUAAAACAACUCAUGCAUUCGACAGGAGAAAUAAGGCGGAAAAAUGGUUUUGUCAAAUCCCUGAACAAAUAUGAGUAACUACCAAAUAAGAAAAGGGCAUAGGUGAAAUUUGCAUAAAUUUAUAAGCAUUUAUCCAAAAAUAUCUCACCUAUGCAUAAAUUUAUAAGCAUUUAUUCAAAAAUAUCUUGCAAAAAUAUACGCCAUUCUUAAAAUAUACCGCACUCUGUAAAUUCAAAGUUGAUCAUAUUUCUUUGAACCAAGAAGGAUUUUAAAAAAAGCAACAAGCUAAAUUGAAGAUUAAAAAAGAUUUUAAAAAAAGGUUGAGACCGCUUCUCCAGCCAAAUUUAUCCAUUGGGCUCCACACAAAGAUCCCCGUACAUAGCUCAUAAACUGGGUUAGUAAAUCUAGAAAUCUACCUCCAUAUCAUUCACCAAAAGGUAGGAAAACUGCAUUUCAUUAAGUGAAUUUGGAGAUAUUAUUCAUAUAUAAUUCGGUAUAUAAAAGGAAACUUUGUCAAUAGAGUCAAGCAUACUUAUUUGUUUUCAAGUUAUGUUGGUUUUAAAUACAAUAGUCACCAUAUCAUUUAAGGCCAUGAAAAUGAACAUAUCACAGGAAUAUGUUAAAGCAUACAUAUGCAUGUAAAAUACAUUCUUUAUAUGAUAUAUUGUAUCUUUUUUAAUUCAUACAAAAUAUUCUCUCAUGAUUUUUGGAUCCAACUACACAUUAUGCAUAAGGCAGUGGCAUAAAGUAAAAUCUAUACGCAAAGUAACUCUCAGCUUCAAGAGAAUGGGCAGCGAGUACAAGAUAGCAGUAAGAUGCUUUAUCACUACUUUCAUUAGAUCUCGUAUGAACUAUCAGAAAAGCUAAAUGUGAAAAAAGAAAAAAAGAAAGUCAGCAUGCACACCCAACAGUUGUAAGUUUCUGUGAUUCAAAAGCUCCAGCAUAAAACAAAUUCCAUGACUCAAUAAACUACCACCAUGAUCAAAUUCCACCACUCACAGGGAGUAGAGAAGCCUCUCUGACCAGGGGAACAGCUCUUUACUUAAACAUCAUAUUAUUAGUUGUACAAUAUGUUCAUUUCAAACAAAAAGAAGCUCCAACAAGAAGCGGUAGAGAAGAAGGCAAAAAAAAAGAAGAAAAAGCCAUCAGGUUCUAGAUGAAAUAUAACUAGCAACAUUCAUGAGAAAACAUAUCUGAAUAUUAUCACUUCUUCUACACAUCCAGACCCUAGCAAGCACCAGAAAAGAGCUCAGAAACCCUAAUAACAGUAAGAUGUAAAAACAAAAAAAAUAAUGAAAAAGGGGGCCAAAAGAAUCUCACACGCUGGCGUCCUCCCUACCGAGGAGCUUGACCGGGGUCCCCGAUCUCGGCGACAUGAGGUGAGACGCCGAGAGCUCCUCCGGGCCGAGUAUCCUCCCAGGCCACCACGACCCGUUCCUCCGCCGCACCCACACGAUCGUCCCCACCGAGCAAUCCACGAUCCCUCCUCCAUCCCCUCCUCCCUCAUGCGUCCCCAUCUCUGCAACCCCCCACCCACCCUCCCCUCCCCUCCUCGCCGCGGCGGAGGCCCUCCGAUCACCCCCCGGAGAAGGCGAUCACCGCCGCGCAGCGCCGCUUAUGAGAUCCUCCUCCGGAUCCGAUCGCGUUGAAACCCUCGGCGCCUAGGGUUUCCAUUCACAUCGAAGAAGAUCUCAUCCCUCUUCCUGCUCCCACACCACGCCCUCUCCCCUAGGGUUCCUCCAAAGGUCGCCGCCGCCGCCUCCUCCUCCUCCUCCGGCGCCGCCGCCGCCGCCUCCUCCGCCGCUCCGAAGCUCCGGUCUCCAAAUCGCCUCCGAUCGAAGGUGGUGAUAUUUUUCUCAGAUUCGCUCCAACGUUGUCUUAACUUUAUUUUUCUCGUUUAUUUCAUUUCCCUCGCAGCGCUCAACAAUAAUAAUAAAAAAAAUAUAAAAUAAAACUAAGAAAAAUAAAAACGAAGAAAGACGGUGACCAGAUUCGGAUACCCCCCUCUCUCUCUCUCUCUCUCUCCUCCCUUUUUUCUACGAGAGGGGUCGGAGGGGAAUCAGCUUAUCGAGGAUACGGUGCGCGAACCGGCAACGGUUCGUUUCCUUCAUUCCCGACCGGGCCCAAGGAAAACCAGUCUCCGGUGCUGUUGCAACGGUGAAUUAUUCCACGGACCGAGGCCUAUACACCAGGGUCUCCGAAAAGAUAAAAACUCUAAAUUUUUAUAAGAUAUUUGAUGCAUAAAAAAAAAAUUAGCUUUUACUAUACUCAAAACUGGAAAUAAAAUUAUGUGCCGUUAUUAGAUAGAAUUUUUUACUUUAAUAUUUUUUUUAUUUUUCUACUAGAAAAAUUUUUUAAAGCAAUAUUUUAAAAUAGCACUUGUCCUAAUAGUAAUACUGGGAUAACAUUUUUUAAAUAAUAAAUAUUAUAUAUUCUACAAUAAGAUUAGAACGAUCCUGGACAUCUUGCUUAUCGCAUCAAAAUUUUAAGGACCACUUUUUUGAGAGAGAGGGUGGAUUUGUGGGCUAGGUUGAAAUUGUCAAUGAUCCCGGUCUAUAGGGACGGUUCGUGCAACAGUUUCUCGCGGCGGGCGGUGUCGGUGGAGGAAUCUGGUCGUGGUGGAGUCGACUCGGAUUCGUACUUGACCCGACUUCGACGGGUGUCGCUUGAACCGGGUUUUUUCAGAUAAACGAACCGGGUUCGUCCGGCCUAGGGCCGGUUAGAUUGAACCGUCUUGUUUGGGUCGGGCGCGUCGCGUGGUUCUUCAAUGGGCCCUCCAUGUUCUCCUUUCUUUGGCGCUAGGCCCAAUUAUUGGGGAGCACCAUUUUCCUCUGUGGCUCCAAAUUUAGGACUAGAAUUUAUAAGCAUUUAGAACCGGGGAUAGAUAGAAGGAAAUACUUUUUGGAAUCAAAAUUUAUUUUGUUUUCCAUUUUCCUAUCAAAAUAUUGCAACAAAAAUGGGUCACAGUUUCACCUGUUUCACUUGUUUCAUUUGAAACAUAAUAUUCGAUAUCAAUCUCUAUUCAACAAUUAGCAUGCGAUUGAGUUUUUAACUCUAUUUUGCUAGUUGCACCCUUCACUUCUCUUUUGAUUUCGCUUACGGAUGAUUCUGCAUAAUAUAUAAUCAAAUUUCUUAUAAUGUAUUAUUGGAUUUUUCGAUAGAAUUGCAUUGUUUUAUGCUCUUUGUCUUAUCCAAUUUAAUUUAUUUUGCUUCUCACUGUGACAAAGUCCUCAUAACCAAACUGAUUGGGAAGCAAGAAACAUGACCCCAUUCCACAUGUGCAUGUAGUAAUCUUUCAACUUGUUCACUGUUACUUUUAGAAAGUAUAUGAGAAUACACGCAUAUUUGUUAGCAAUCUUAAAGGCAAGGAAAUAAAAUUGUUUAGUAUGAUAAUAGCUAAUAGUAUGUGAUAACAAGGACGAUAUGAUAUCGAUUGAGUGCUACUGGAGAUGGUUAUAUCUCACGUGUAACACGCCUUUAAACGUCUCAUCUAACUAGAAUCAGAGCAAUUAGGGCCUUCUCUAAGCACCGCGUAAAAGGCCUUAAAAGCUAGUCGGAAAUGUUAUGGUUGGAUAUUGUUUCUCCAUAGCUUCAAUAAUCUUCUUAGCUACUGCACCCGCAUACACUGACGAGCCUUCGAAUAUCUACAGAGUACCGAUUAAAAAAAAAAAUUUGUUACCUUACAAACAAUGCUAUAAAAAUGCAUAAAUAUCAUAAUAUAUGCUGUGUGGAAAUGAGAAAUUAAAAAGGACCUUUGUGUUGAACAUGAAGAUGUUGUGGUCCCCGAUGGUCGCACCGGUACUAUGGAUUAGCUCGAGUUGGAGCUCAUCUAGGACCUUUGCGACAUACAACAAGCAAUUGGCCUUAUUUUUCCGAGUGAUCUUAAUGUUCACUUCGUCAUCGAUGAUACGAACAUCUACGAAACAAUCCUUGGAUCUCCUUUGUAUCCACGAGCUCCUCAAGGCUCCAUUUAGUGGAUUAUCUUGAUCCCCCCUAAAAGGGCUCAUUGAUGAGCUCUCCAUGUCGCCACUAUUCACGUCAUUAACCAUCUUCAGCAUCUUUCUCCUCUCAUUUCCAUGUCUCUUUUGCUCUACGAGGAUCUUUAAUUCCUUGAUUGUUCGAUUUAGCUCGUUGAUGUAUUCAAUUGCGUCUCCCACAAUGGAUGCUCUAUCAGACUUGAUUAUGAGACAGAAUUGCAAGGGAUUAGAAUACAUUUGUACCGAGAACAUUAGUGAUCGCAAAAAAAAAAAAAAAUUGUGAUUUGGAAGCACCAAUUGUCUUCUUAACUCCUUAUGAGUAUAUAGAUUAAGAGAAUUUUCUUUCUCAAGAUUGCGUAAAGGGAACUGAUAUUGCGAAAGCAAUAUAUGCUAUUGUGAGAACAUACAUGGUAUCUAGUCAUGUUUUGAACCAUUGUGCUCUUUCAAUAGUAGAAAACUGCUUUAGUAAUAUCAGUUGCCAUGUGUAAAUUGAAAACAAGGGUUUCUAUCAAAGGGAGCAAUAAUUGACAACAUUGACAGCAAGAGACACUAAUUUAUCACGGAUAUUGAAUUCGUACUAUGAAAGAAUAGUAUCACAACAUUGUCCUCUUUUACAUUGCAAAAAAGCUUGUGAUAAAGCAUCAAUCCAUUUAUGGAUGAGAGAGAGAGGGAUAGAGAGAGAGAGAGAGAGAGAGAGAGACAAGUCUAAUUAAGGAGGUCUAGCUCCAAAUUGUAUAUACAGCUAGUCCACAUUAAGAAGCUAUAAAUUAAAGAAACUCAUGCUUUAACCUCCACUAUAUAACAAGCUAUAAAGAAAAGAAAUGGUUUUCUUGCUUCAAGUCAAUGAGACUUUUUCUGAGAAUGCUGAUAUGGGUGCUAUAUCCAGAUACAAAAUGUUGCGUUUUAAAGGUUUGACAUAUCAAUUUAGAAGGGUAAGUAAUUAAUUACACAAAACUAUUUAAUUCUAAUGAAAACUAAGGUUAAUUAUGGAAAUAUAAUAUACGAAGAUUUGUCGCAACUCGAGCAAUAUGCAAGCAAUUUAUACCAAUGCACAAAGAUGUAAGUUUGAGUAGAUAGAUAAUAAUUGCAAAAUGAUAUACAGCAGUACCUUUGUGGGGUUCGGGACUAAUGAUUUCAAAGCUGCAUACUUUUCAUUCAACUGCUCUCUUCUCUGCUUCUCGGCCGCGAAGUUUUGUUUCCCGUCCACCUUAGCCAGUCCUCCAAUCUCCCUCCUACAAUCUAGUAUCGCACUACUAAUUUUCCUCCCGUCGAUUGGUUGGAAAAUAUUCCCUCCGAUUCCUUCUCCAACUCCGAUCACGGCAUCCCCCUCAUCACCGUAGAGCAUCCCGUAAUUUUGUGGCAAUGAAUGGAGAAGAUCCUUUAACAGGUGAGAUCGAGUAGUAGGGCAGACCACCGAAUGAAGUGCCGGAUCAUAAAGCAUCGACGCACCACCGUCUUGAAUUGUUGCUCCUGAAAGCUCGUUGUAUGCCUCGAACGGAAAGCCGCUCAUCGGAGGAUAAUCCGGAUUGGUAGUGCACCUUGGAAGUUUCAUGAAGCUUAGAAGGUCGGUCGUGACCGCGUAUGAAUUUGGAUAGAGGAGACCAUCACUGCUUUGGAUAUUUUGUUCCACAGGAAUAGGCAGUUGAUUUUCGUAGUUCUGCUGGAGGUAGAUAGCCGGAUCUUGGAUGUCUUGCAUGGCUGGCUCCCAAGUAGCACUUUCCAUCGAAGGCGUGCCGUGGAUGAUGUGACUAUGAAGCUCUUGCUCUAUAUCAAAGCCAAGUUGAUUCUCGAGGUGAUCGAGCCCCGCGGCUAUCGACGUCCCCUCUAACGACGGAUAAUGGUUUUGGCUCGAGAACUCUUCGAUCGGAAAGAAGGGGACCUUAGUGCAUUCUUUUACGCCGCCUAGGCCGUUAUCAGGUAGGGGUUCUUGAGAGGAGCUAUGAAAUGAAGAAUUUGGAACGAGGUUAGGAUCAUGAGAGGGAUCGGUGUAGCCAUUCUCGUCGAACAUUUUUGCUGUUUUUAUAGAAUUCCACCCUCCAUGUUUGUCAUGCAAAGCUAAAUCUAAACAUCAAUAUCGAAAGAGGAGGCCGAUGAACUUAGAAAAGCUACAAGAAAAGAAAAGGUCCCUAAGAGAACUUUGUUGUCGCAAAAUUAGAAGACAACAUCGAGAAUUUAAAGAAAAGGAAAGGAAAAGGGUAAUACAAGGAGGUAACUCAAUAGGAGGAAAAGGAGAGGAAUGUUUAGAGGGACAUAACAGUGUUGAUGAUGUUGAGCUUUCCUUUGCUGCUUGGUUUCUUUUAUUGGUCUGAAGUGAUCGAAAGGUUCGGAGUUCAAAGUAAGGCUAUCCCCCAAUCUCUUUUUUUUCGUGUAGAGAAGCUGUUGCGGAGAGUAGGUUGAAAUGAUAAUCUAUUGUGCUCCGUUUAGCCCCCAACAAACUUCCUAAUAUCUUCUUUCCUUCUCCUAAUCCCUCAUCAUUACUCUUCCGAAAAAUAAGUUUUCAAAUACCUAAACUUCGCUAAAUAAUCACUGGAGUGCCAUCAAGCUACCUUCAUACAAAAAGACCUUCAGUGCAAGAUACCAACGAGUUAUGCAAUUAUAUACUCUUAUUUUGUUAUUAAUUGAAGUACAAUUACAAGGGAAAGGUAUCAACAGUAUUAUGGAAAAAGAUUCUAUGCACAAAAUUCCUCCAAUAUUUCCUCCAAACUAUUUAUUAGGCAAUUUUUCGAUAAGUAAUGCAAAUAUUCGAUAGUUGCUUACAAUGGUAUAUGUGAUUUGAGUAUUUAAUUUCUCGAGUAUCUGAUGGAUGCAGCUGAAACCAAAAUAUAAUGAAACAGUACAGCAGUUAUAUUCUAAGCAAAUAGCAGUUGAAUUUUACCCCUAAGACUUGGAAGGCUAGAGUUUUGUGUUAAAACGAAAGCAUUCUAUGAUAGAAUUGUGAUUUCGAAAGAAGUUUAACAUUAAUGUGGGGACCAUGAAUGAUGAUCUACGCAUGAAAAACGGCAAUUGCAACUAAUCUUGUUAGCUUGAUUGAUGGUAAAUUAUGCCAAGAAAUAAGAACUAUAGUCUAACCAAUUAACUAAUUCAUAGGAUUUCUAAUCAAUUGGACUAAUUUAUGUUAAUAUGAAUUCUAUAUUCAUUCAUUUUACCAUUUAAACACGGUUUGGGUGAGGGAAUAUCACAUGUUUGCCACCAAACAUGGGGAGAAGAGACUCCAAAUCCACACUCUUUUUGCUUUGGCCUCUCUGAUUCUAUUUAUCCCUUAGGAAGUUGAAAAAUGCAAGCCAUGCCUCCUAACUUCCCCCUUUACUAUAUUCAUAUGGUGUAUUUACUUAUACACUACGUCCCAAAAGUAAAUGUACCACAUAAGAGUGCGCUAAUAUUGUACAAUAAUCAUUUUUUUCGGAGUGAAAUUAUUUUACAAUAAUCAUGAUGGCAAAUUGGCAAGGAGUUGAGAAGUCAUUUAUGGGAUCUCCUUGCGAUAAUGGCGUACAAGGAUUCCUAAAGAAUUUAGUUAGUCGAGAUGAUUGCUAUCACAUACGUGCCAUGUUUUGUUACUUGAUAGCUUAAAUGUCUGUUUAGCCUUAGUCUGCAAAAUUUUCUCUAUUUCAAGAAUCAAAUAGACAAAACAUUCAAACAACAAACGUUCAAGCGGUUGGCAUGCUACCUAUCUCUUAAAAAACAAAUCUAAACUUUUGUUGCAGCGGAGGAAAUUAAUUGAGCUUACAAACCUUACUAACGGAAGUAUUUGUUUGGAUUUUCUUCACUUCUCUUGUUGUCAGAAAUUGUCGAAAAAAUUAUAAUUAAACAUGAGUAAAAAUAAAAAUUAAUAAUGUUUUCUCAAACAACUUUACUCAAAAACACCUCUCCAGAAGCUUCGAGCAGACUAAACAUAACUGAAGCCUUUUUAGUUACAAGUGCAGUUUUGGAGAGUAUGCGAAGUCAUUCUAGCUUAAGAAUUCAAAAACAUCAUUUACUCCACAAAUCGAACUUGGAGGCAUGUUUUAGACUCAGAUGUAGUUAAUUAACCUUAAAUGCAACCAAUAUCUUAAAUGCGACCAAUAUGUACAAAUUUUGGGAGUUCAAUCCUCUAAGAAACCUACCUGAAUCCAAAUUCUUCACACACCUAGCCAUCACUCGUGCUAAAGACCGUAUCGUUUGGUUCGAGGAUAACCAAAAAAUGAUUAUUCCAGGGAUAGGUAUAAAUUGAGGUAUAAGCGGAGAUUAGAUCAAUUUUGCGUUUGGAUGAAAAUUAGGUUAUUCUUAAGAAUAAAAAAAAUAGCGUUUGGUUAGAUAAGAUGGAAUAAGAAAGAUAGUAGACUUUUAUAAAUAAAAAAUAAUGAUAUUACCAUCUUAUUAUAUUUGAAUUUGAAUUUUUAAAUUUUUAAUUUUAAAAUUUUAACUUUGAAAAUUUAAAUUUUAAAAUUAAAAUUUAAAAUUUAAAAUCUCAAAUUUUAAAUUCAAAAUUUUGAAUUUUAAAUUUCAAACUUUAAAUUUAAGUUCAAAUUUAAAUUUAAAAAAUAUAAAAUAUAAAAUUUUAAUUUUAAAAAUUUAAAAUAUCAAAAUUUAAAUUUAAAAUUUAAAAUUUAGAAUUUAAAAUUAUAAACUUUAAUUUUGAGAUUACAAAUUAUAANGUGGAAUAGCAAAUUCCUUGCUAUUUUAGGAUAACCGAAAAUAGUAAGGUUUGACCGGAAUAUUUUAUUCCGGCAAAAAUUAUCCCCGCUUAUCCCAUGAACCAAACAGGGCCUUAUAGUUUAGCUGCAACUGUAACAACCAAAAACCUAUAUAGUUUCCUGACUUUCGUCGUGGCUCAGAACCGAUAUCAACUAGUAGCACGCAUCAAAGUGAUACUCCAUUUAGCAUAAUUUUAAUGUGGUUCGUUCUAAAUCCUUGCUUACACACACCUCCAAAGAGAAGUAUUAUCAACCUUCAUCAUAGAGAUAAGAAAUUGUUUAAAAAAAAUCAACGUUUAGCUAUAUUUAGAAGUCCACUUUGGAGCUUCUAAUUUUAUUUAGAAACUGCUCCGGGUCACUUCAGUAGUGCUUCUAGCAGAAUUACUCAACUUGCAUACUAUCAAAGAGAAAUACACCCCUCAAGACCAAGCAUGGCCUAAGCAACAUUAGAAAAAAAAAAAUUUAAAAAAAACAAAAUAUUAAUAUCUGAUGAUAAUUGAAUAUUAUUAACAUAAAAUUAGGCGAUUAAUCUAGCACAUAGAGAAGAGAUGAUAAGUACAUUACUUGACAAAACCAAUAGGAAAGUGGUUACACAAGUAAAACACCAUGCAUCAAUCAAGUACUUGAACAUUUACUUGAGCUCACAGAUUAAUUUGAACUAAAAUAUUCAAAAAAGCAAUAGUUAAUUCAAGACUAAUAUGAUUAACAAAGCAAUGGUGAUCUUCUAUUACCACAAGAAACAAAAAGACAAGACGCCUGGCAAUCUUCAGUAACACAAGAACUUUGUAUAGUAGAAUAGGUGUAAGGCUUCUAAUAAUCAACAAAUCUUCAAAUUGUUUAAGGCUUUUGUAGUAGGCAAUUUACGAAACAUUUUAGACUCAGCCCCAACUGAAGAAACAUAUUUCGGUUGCAUAAUUACAUGAUUUUUCAGCACCAAAAGCUUCACAUACUAUAUCAACAUACCUCACCAUUCUGUUCCAUGCACACAUCUCUAAGGAAAUUGCGAGUUGAUAAAUUUGUUCUCCUCUUCAUUGAUUCAAAGUGGUAUAAGAACUUCGCUGAACUACAUACCGAAGGCACUUUUUUCUGGUUCGUUGAACUACUGCAAUUGAAAGGAGCUUGAAAAGGUGAGGUAUGAGCGAUUAUCUUGUUCUUUUGCCAAGUCAAAUUAAGCAGCCCUUGAAAGCUUUUCUCAAAGCAGCUUCAUCCAAAUUCCUUCCAAUAAAUACCAGCUUGUUGAUCCUUUUCUCAUUAGGACCCCAUGGUUUCCCAGGGCAUCCAUCCAACAUGGAGUGCACACCCUAGAAAUCAAGAGAGAGAGAGAGAGAGAGUACAAGCUGUCAGUACUGUAAGAGAAAUACGCAUUCGGACAAACAAGCCAAGCAAAAAUGAGCAGGUACCCUCUCCAACUAUAGAAUUUUAGAAGGCCCUUGAACAUCAGUUUUCUUAAUUCGAAUCAUCAACUAAUUUGAUGUGUGAUUCAAGUGAACAUUGUCAGAUUCCAUUAUAUGAUUUCCGACAAAAAGUUUCAAAAUAUAACUAUUCUGGCAUGUUCUAUGAGAUUCUAUCCAGAAAGUUAUGAACCGGUAAAAUUCUAAUGGAAUUUUCUGCAAUUAAACAACACAACGAGUUUAAAUAGAAAAAUACAGCUGAAACAAAGGCCUGUACCCAAAUGACCUAUAGUUGGAGGGGUGUUUGCACAUUCCCAUUAAUUUUGAUUGCCUUUAAGUCCCACUGUAAUGAAGAAGAAAAAUAACAGAGGCAAGGUAAUGGAUAUAUAACCUGGAGAACAUAACGCCCAGUAGACUCAUUUACAGAUAUAACACCUUUCAUUCUGUACAAAUCAUCGCCUUUCUCAUCAACCAGUCUCUCUAGCCAAUCAUUGACCUUGGCAUUGAGAUACAGUGAGACGUUAGUAGAUAAACCCAAAAAAAAAAAAACCAGACGAGUACCUUGAAAUCAAUGUGCAGCAUUAAACCCCUAGAGUAAGAAAGGGGGGAAAUUUAUAUUUCACCAGAACAAUUGACACUUAUCGCAUGACUUGUGUAAAAUGAAAACAUAUACUUCAAACCUAACUAGGGUGCCUUAUAUUAUUAAAUGAUUCUAAAAUUCCUUUUACAUAUUUUCCUUUCCAACUACGGAUGCACCAACAUCAAUGCAUCCAAUAGUGAUAUGCAAAACAGCUGCUGCAACCAGCUUUUUAGAACAUAGCACACCAAAAUUAAAACAAAGUUGGAACUUGGAAAGUACCUCAUCAAGAUCCAGCAUCCCUUCAGAAACUAUGCUAACACUUGUCACAGAAGAAUCAUGGGUGUGAUCGUGAUGGUGUCCAUCAUGGUGACCUAGAAAGAGAGAAAACAUGUCGAUUUAAAGCUAGUAAAGAUUCUACGAAAUUGCUCCUGCCUGUUGAACAUAGGUUUCAAAUUAUUCCUCAGAACAUGGGAGCUGAAACAGUGCCAUACUUUCAUAAGUUACUACAAGAAACUAUACAAAAGCAUUAAGAGAAAGGAUGCUGCUCAUACAGAACGCUUGAUUAGGAGUUAUAUUUAUCAUAAGCAAUAUCCAGUUGGCAUUCUGAUUCCCGUCACUUAUCAUAUAAUGCACAGCCUAGGGAUCAAUCAUUCGUCUUUAAUGAUUCAGGUUUCCGAAUGAGGCAGAUCUUGAUAAGUUAAUAUAUUUGGCAAAUGGAAACUACAGUCAGUAUGUAAGCACAUACCAUGUCCAUCUUCACAAUGAUGACUCGCUUCAUGGUCUACAUCGAGUUGAACUUCAGACUCAAUCCUGCUUAAAAAUUGAUCCAAGAAUGUCAGAUUAAAUUUCCUUGUAUUAAUCUUAAGCAACUACACGGUUUAUCUUUUCAAGACCACAAUGUGGUGAUGUAAAAUGAGAUUCAGAAAUUUCAGAUACUGAAAGAAAAGGCAACAACUGGUACAAUGAAAAUGACCUCUCUAGGUCAUAUCCACCCACUCCUAGAACAAAAUCCAUAUCAACAACUCCAAACUUCGCUUGUUUAAUUUGAGCCAUGCCAUUAAUAAGCUGCAAAAUAAAUAAAAUAAUAAGCACAGACAUGACAACUCGCAGCGGUAAAACCUUUGACAAAAAUAGGUUAUACCUUAAUUUUCCUAGUCAGCAUAUCCAAUUCAAUAUCAUUCACCAAAUCUAUCUGGAAAAAAAAAGAACACAAAGAAUUCAGAAAAGUACAUUGCUUCUUCUUCAAAAGAUUAUGAGACAUUAAAACAUAUAGCCCUAGAGAAUUAUCUAUUAAUAUAUAUACCCCUGCAAAAUUGGAAACUUCAUUUAUGCCCCUCAAACUUCCUAUCAGAUAAAACCUUGUACUUACAUAACAAUUGCACUGUUCAACGGGCAAAAAAAUAAUAAUAAUCAAAACCAAGUUCCCUCUGGUAUUGGAUGAAUCCUCAACUUAAGGGUAUUUUGUGAAAGAUUGCAUAUUUUGAGGGCAAUAUAUGGAAAAUACAAAUUUUAUAAGGGCAUAUAGGUAAACAUUUGGUUUUGCACUGCAUAUCAAAGCCCCAAAAGUUUACUAUAACAACAAUAUGAGAGGUGCAACAUAAAAGGUCUGCUUACACAUAGCAUAUACUUGCCUUGUUUAAUAUAAUUCGGUCAGCAUAAGCAACUUGUUCUACUGCCUCAUUCACGACCCACCUCGGUUUCACUUCAUUCAGAUGCUGCAUGGAGUGCUUGCAGUCCACCAUAGUGACAACACCAUCAAGCUUCACAUGGCGAGAAACCAAUUCAUCCGAACAAAAUGUCUCAAUGACAGGAGAAGGCUUAGCAAGGCCUGGAUAAAGAAAAUCAAGAACUUCUUACAUGACAGACUAACAAGCAUUUGCAGUUUAGUUGCUUAAUAGCUCCAAAAGCCAAGCUAAACAAAUAUUUCCCACCAAAUCGCAACAAAAAAGGUGGUAAUAGUAAGCUGUCAUCAACUAGAAGUUGAAAACAGGAGGAGGUGAAUACCAUGGUGUUGGAGAAGAAAAAUACCAAAAUAAUCAUCUGAAAAACCCUAGGUUAAAAAGGUAUGAGUAUGGACCUUACCUGAACUACGGACCAUUUGAAUUUGGCUAACCCAUUUCAAAAUUUUGAUUUUACUAUGUAACCUUUCAAUUUGUUUGAUUUAAGUCAGUCAAUGAUACUUUAACUUUAAAAUUUGAUUUUGUUGUUUAACUUUACAAGUUUAGUGAGUAUAUUUUAUGCAAUUCUUACAACUAUAAGUUUAUUAAAGUAAGUAAUUAGCUUAAAUUUUGGAGUCAAAGUGCCGUCGACUGACUCAAAUCAAACAAAUUGAAAGAUUGAAUAGAAAAAUCAAAAGUUUGAAAAGUUGGGCAGCCAAAUCCAAAUAGAACAUAGUUCAGGUAAGGUCCAUGAAUUUUAACAAAAACCUAUUGGCUGGCUAAGAGAUAUCAACUCUAUUGCCCUGAAAAAGUGAGUAAUUUAAAGUAAAAGGAGAAAAAAAAAAAAAGAAAAAAAAAAGAGACAUCAAGUCAAAUAAAAAUGGAACUUUUGCACCGAAAAAAAAGAGGGCAACAUGGCAACAAUUAAGUUUGAUAUGCUAAUAAUGAGAAAGAGUAAGUAAUAACUUUAAUAUAUCAAGACUCAAAUAUUAAGUAGGAAAUUAAGAAAAGCAAGUGCAAAUAAUUAACGUCCAUAAGUGUUGAAGCAGUUCGAAGGCUGGAACAAAGAAUUGGAAACUACAGAAGAUAAACAACCAGCAAAAGCAUUCGCAUUUCAUAUUCCAGAGCUUUGACCAAUAUCUCUACCUGUUGUUUCUAUAACAAUAUGAUCGAACUUCUCCCGUUUUUCCUUAACCAACUUCAAAAGCAUCUUAACAAGAUCCCCUCUGACAGUGCAGCACAAGCAGCCAUUAUUAACCAUCACAAUGUCUUCUGCGACAGAUGAAUGACUAGCAACAAGCGAACUAUCAAUAUCAACCUCCCCAAACUGCGACAGUACCACGUCAAUCCAUGAAAUGAAUAUUUUCACCCAAAAUUUGUCUUGCGUGUAGAGAUUAAGUAGAAAAUUCAUUAUGAAAAGAGACAAAAGAGGGAAUAAACUAUCAGAAAUAUGCCAAUCAAGUGAGUCAAGAUUUGAUGCUUUUGCUAAACUAGUUCUACCCAUUCAUAUAACCAUGCUGUUUCAAAUUUCUAAAAAUAAUAACCACCAAAGCCGUUCUGCAGCAGGAGAUAAGGCUCACAAGAUAUAGCACUUUGUUCUAGGUAAUUCACCGUAAGCAAAAUAAUCAGCAACUAAAAAUUACAACAGAAAGCCAUUAUUAUAUAGGGAUAAAGAAAAGCCACCGUGUACCUCAUUUUCAAUGACAGCGAUCCUCUUCCCAUGCUGUGAAGUCAAAAUAUGGUUCAACAGAGUUGUCUGCAUAUAAAUUACACAUCAUGCUUUCUGUGCUGGAAUACAUAUAUAUUUUCCAAAGAAAAAAAAUUAUCAGAAGUUCUUGCUAUAUCACGCUAUAUAUCACUAUAGACGGAAAAUAUCAUACGAAACCUCUGGGGUUAACGGCUCUCUUUAUUUCAUCAUAAGAUGUUUCCUUUGCAGGAUUAAGUUCCCAGCACAUCCCAUAAGAUGCCAAGCUUGUUUCAGCAUUAACAUGGUAUGAGUACCUCAUCAUAUGGGAGAACAUGUUCCACAAGCUAACCUCGUCUUACAGGGGAACAUGUUCCACAACCCAGAAGUCCGUUUCUGUGGAACCUACGGACAAGUUCCAAAAACAGCACGACACUCGAACAAUACUCCAGGCUAAUAGCAUUACUUAUUCGAUACAUAAUUUCUCAAAAAAAAAAUCCUAAAAAAUACUAGACCCAAUGGUUGACAAGAAGAAGCACAUUGCAAGCGAUAAAGGUAAAUAACCAAAUAAAUAAAUAAAUAAAGAUUCUAACAUAGUCGGUUGCCUCGGUUGCCUCUCAGAAGAAGCCCAGGGAGGGGAGGAAGAGUCCUAUGAUUACUUCCUUUCUCUCUUUAGAACCAAACAACGUAAUUUGAUCCGCACAAGAACCAGAGACAGAGAAAAACACAUAAGUUCCCUUCAAAGAUAGAAUCCACCUCCUAUAUGGUAUUCUUAGAUCUUUAGGGCGCAACUGGAUCAAGGCCAAUAAAAAAUGCAAGAGCCUACUAAAGAAAAAUUAUCGAAUCGAUUGAUUAGAAUCUGACCUUUCCGGAGCCGAGGAAUCCGGUGAUCACGGUGGCGGGAACGCGGGUGUCGAGAUCGAGGGCGCUGGAAACGGCUUCGGCGAGAUCGGCCCUGGGUCGUGAAGCGGACACCAUCGAUCGCGAAUCGGACGGCCGAUCGUGGGGGGAGAAGGGACGGGAGAUGAGGGAGUGGAGGCCUCUGAGGCAUUGGGAGAUUGAGGCGGAGGGGGCGGCACCGAUCGGAGGGAGGGAGACGGGUUGGAGAAGAUGCGCUAGGGUUUUGGAAGCUCUCGGGAUCAGCAAUUUCGCAGCCAUGGCGAGGAGAGAGAGAGAGAGAGAGAGAGAGAGAGAGAGAGAGAGAGAGAGCUUAAACCCUACACGGAGGUUUCUUGUAGGAGAGAGGGAGGAGGAGGAAAGGGAUGCCUUAAACCCUAGUGAAGGGUUCUUGUACGAGAUAUACACGCCGAACCGGAGGGAUCCUACAACUGUCGUAUAAUAAAACUCGCACAAUAGAGAAUUAGAGAUGAGCGAGAUCUGAGCCCAGCCCGAUUCAGAGAGGGCCGGCCCUGGAUUGUCCAAAUUAAUAAAUAUAUUAAUUGUCCAUAUCAACUGUCGUACGAUCAAUAUGUAAAUAUGUAAAUAUAUAUAUAUUAAGAAUCAAAAAGCUCCUAUGCUCUAAUGCCCUAUGUACUUUUCCUUUCUGUUUCAUUCUUCUUUCUUUUUUCUUCUUUCUUACUCCUUUUUUCAAUCUUUUGCCGCUCUCUCGGAGGUCCAAGCUGCUUCCAACUUAUAUGCUCAGUUUAUUUAACCUAAUGAAUGAAGCAGGUAGCUUGCUACCUAUUUUCUCAAAAAAAAAAAAAAAAAAAAAAAAGAAUCAAAAAGCUCCGAUAACCUUUUUGAUAUGUUCUAAAUAAUAAUUUCGUUGGGCAGUUAUGACUAUUUAAUAUUCUCUGCAGUAAGUUUUUCCAAAAAUUUAUUUUAUUUUUAUAUACAAACUAUUUGUGAUUAUAGAUUCACGUCCAAAAGUUAGACCUUGCUAAGCAUCUUAAAAAAAAACUACCAUAAAUAGGUCAAUUGGGCUUUGCGCUAACGGACCCUUCAUGGGCGAAAAUGUUAUGACCAAACCCACUCCAACCAACCAUAUUCACGGGGAAAUUUAAAGAAAGCAAAAUUGACCAGUAGCAUUUCCGGCGCACAGCUAACAAUAAAAGCUUACCCCAGAAUGAACCACAAUAACGCUCCUAAUGUUGCUGUCCGUGAAAAUAAAAUCGUCAGCAGAUCUCAUAUUCAGAAAUUUUUUCAACCGAACUCAAGGAACUAACCAAGUCUAAUUUCAAACUUUGAUAGCGAAUUCCCAUUUUUGGUAGUUUUGGCGGAGUCACAUGCAUAUAUAAACCGCAACUAGGUUUCAUAAACAGAAAUAAACUACCACAGUUACAACAUCGGUUGAAAUAAGAGUACUGAUGAAGAACAGCAAUCCUCACUGGUAAAUUUUUAGUUUUCUUAAAUAUUAUCAAUUAUCACCCAUUUGAGUAUCUAAUCUUAAAAUAUUUUGAUCUUACUAUUGGACCGUUUAAUUUAUUGAUUUAAACCAAUUAGUGACUCUCUAACUUCGAAAUUUGAAUACAUCAUCUAUCUUUACAGUUAGAUAUUUUAUGCAAUUUAAGCAACUGUAAGUUUAUUAAAAUGAAUAACUAGUUAAAAUUUUAUACUCGAAAAAUCAUCAAAUUACUUAAAUCAAAUAAAUUCAAAACAUAAAUACUAAAAUUAAAAUUUUUUAAAAUUAAACAGUUAAAUUAAAAUGAUAUAUAGUUAGAUAAAUUUGUAGGAUUAAUUUCUUAAAGAUCCCUGCAAAGAAAUCAAACAGAAAAUAUAUAUUCCUAUAAAACUUUAGUUAUCGGAUUUAUUCCUUCAAAAAUUCUUUGAUUUGUAAAUAUAUAUUUUCAAAAGUUCUAAUUCGUUCAUAUAUUUUUCUACCAUUUGAUUUAACAUUAGGUUAUAAAAUAACUAUUUCGUCCUUAUAAAUUUGUAAAAAAUUAUUUUUCCCUCCCUCCUUGCCUUCGCCGAAGCACUUGGGGGAUAAAAAAGAGAGGAUAAGAAAGAUGACAUGAUUCAACAUUUGGAAUACAAAUUAUAUAUAUAUAUGGGAUAAAAAUAUUAUUUUAUCUCUUAGUUAAUUGUGGUUAAUUUUUUUUAUAAUUAUCCAAAUUUUGAUAAUAUAAGUAUAUAUUUGCAAACAAAAGAAUUAUUGAAGAAAUAAAUCUGGUAACUUAAGUCUUAUAAAAGUAUAUUUAUUAUUUAAUACCUUGCAAGGGGUAUGCAAUUAUCCCAAACGUAUAUAUCUUUACCUAUUUUACAAAAAUUAAUCAAGAACAUGUAAACACAACAUCGGACGAGGACAUUACUCAUCCUAACAAGAGUUGGUGGCAAACAGAGCCAUUCGCGUAGCCAACACAAAAGACGUGCGACCACGGGAUUUGCGGGAUUGCCCCCUCCUCCGUUGCUGUUGUAUGUUGCGGUGUGCUAUAGAACAAUCGCUCCACUGUAGAGAGAUAACGACAAGUCACGGUCACGGUCACGUCCGUCGUUGCUGACCCGUUACCGCCGUUUCAGCCGAAGAGAAAUUCCCCUGGGCUUGGUACACCGCAUCAUCGGUGGAUCGCAAAAAUCUCGACCGUACAUGGUAGAAGUAAUUUCUCCCACUCAAUGGUCCAUUGGUCUGCGUCGGACUAAUCUUAGGCCGUUGGAUGAUUUGGGAUAUUGUUGCCUCUUCGGGAUUUGCGAUGGCUGAGUACGACAGCGACCCCGAGGAAAUAAUAAUGCACUCUAUAACUUGCGGAGCAAACGCGGUGCUCGUGUUGCGAGUUACUAAAAUUAAUAAUAAAAUCAAAAAUUAAAUUGAAUUGAAUUUGAGGAGAGUCCGUCGCUUUCAUUUCCUAUGGGCCAUGGAUAUGCAUAUAUGCAUAUCGUGUGGGUUUUUUUUUUUUUCAGAUAAAAAUAUUUAUGAAGCUCGUCUAGAAACCGAGUGGCGUGUGACUUUUGUAUUUUGUGGUGAGGAAUUGCUGGGUGGAGAUAAAUGCAGCAUUUAUUUGGUCCUAAAUCUACACUUCUUCUGCACUCUCUCCUACUUCCAUUCCUACGUUCUUUGAAGCUUCAGCCUCCUUGUUUGUUUCAUAAUUGUGUUAAUUUAUUUAUGGUAAGAUCCCCCCAUCCACAAACAAUAUUAAUUAGCAAAACAUGGGCAUUGUAAUUUGCAAUAUUAAUUCUCACAAUAAUGCAGGUCACUCUACCUCCCUAAGAUAUAUAUAUAUAUAUAUAUAUAUAUUAAAAAAUAAAAAAGUUUAAGCUGACAAACUAAAUUCUAUAUAUAAAAUAUACAUAUUAUAAAGAAAAAAUAAUUAAUUAAAUCAAAAAUAAAUUAUAUUUUAAAAAUAAACUGAUAUAUAGAAAACAGGUAGAAACUUUUAAGUUG